rnacentral:lncRNA from 1 species
GAGAAAAGAGGGUGCGAAGCCCCCGCUAUUUCCAUAAGUCGUUCAAGGCUAUCGUGAAUGCGAAAGGCCCUUGGCCCGACUCGCAUUGGUGAAUUCUCGACUUUGCUAGCAGUACCAAAAGACCCUUGGGGCCCAACAGCACAAAAGCCAGUGAAAGUCCUUUUACAUGGAAUUAGGUCAUAUAAGACCCAACAACAUGUAAGCGAGUUUCCUUCGGGCCUAAAGAUCAUGUCAUUGGGCUAGCUAGGCCCAACAAGCACGAUUUGAAACUUUCGGGCCCAAAGAUGGUGUAUCGACGUCUGGUGAAUUCCCGCGUGUGUAUUGACUUCCCGUAAUUUCAGCGUGUGUAUUGUAGUAUCGUCGUGUAUAGAUUUUUGAUUCAUUAUUGAUUCGAGACCGAAUCAAUUCGUUUGGUAACGAUUUUUGGUGUUGAAGGUGUAUUAUGUUUCAUCGGUAGUCGUGGUACUAGUAUUUCAUCAUAACGGAUUUGUUGUUUAAAACAUUAGAAUUUUUACUCUUUGCAGCCCCUUUCUUUUGGAUAAAUUUACACUUUUGACCCUUUGUAUAAAAGAAUUUCCAUUUUAGUCCUUAAACCAUUUUUCUUUACACUUUAGUAUCAAAACUUGUUGAAAAGGUAUUUUUCAGCUCAAAUUUAUUUGAAAAACAGCUUUAGUCCCUCAGAAUGAAGUUUUCUCGGCUGAAACCUCUAUUUUCGCAAUUUUUACACUUUUGGCCCAAAAUAGAAUUUUUUUGCAUCUUUGGUCCCUUUUAAAUAUGAAAAGUAUUUUUAACCCUUGAAAUGGACUUGGAGCACUAGUAGUCCCCUGUUUUACAGAAAAGUACCGUUUCAGUCCCUCUAAUUUGAAAAUCUCGCAAUUUGGGCUUUAUUGGGCCGAAAAAUUCAUUUUUGGCCCAUUAUGCUUAAAAAUUCACAUUUUAAUCCUUCAAAAGAGUAAAUUUCCAGAAAAUACAUUUUUGAAACUGUUUUGACUCAUUUCAACCAUCAGAAUUUGCAUUUUGUCAUUUUGGGCCCUUUGAAUUUAUAUUUUCAACAUUUUGAGCCCAAAAAUGGGUUUUAAGCCCAAAGAUGUUCAUAUUAACCAACUUGGUUAUUUUUCUAGGAAUGAUUUGUAUGAAAUAAUAUAAUUUGUAAUUGUUUCAUACAACUUAACGUAGAUCUCGGUUUUAAGGUCUUUUUGACUAGAUCCAACACCACAACCACAUAAGAAUAUAUAUACAAGCAUAAAAAUCACACAAAGCAUACAUAUACUCAUAGAUCUACACAUUUGCUUGUAUUCCCCCCCCCCCCACAAAACUUAGAAAAACCGAAAAAUAGGGGGUAUGAAGCUCACCUUGAGGUUUGGUUCGAUUUUGAUGAAGAUAUAUGAGAAGAUGAUGUUGUUUUUGGCUUAGCUUUCUUCCUUCAAAAUAUCUUGAUGAUGUGGAUGGUUCUAAGAACAUAAUCCACAAAUAUAUGGAUGUAAGAGGAGAUCUUUGAAGAGAUCAAGAAAUUAUAUCAUAGAUCUAAGUGGGAACUUACCAAAGUUGAUGAUCUUGAAUAAGAAUUUCUUGAAGUAUCCUCUAAUUCUCGAAAAUUUAGAGGAAAGUGUAGGAGUGUUCUUGUGAGAUUUCCUUAAGAGAUUUCUAAGUAAAAUAAGUGUGUUGGUGAUUUUUGGGCCCUAUGGCCGAGAUUAAGAAGAGAUAGGNAUUUUUGGGCCCUAUGGCCGAGAUUAAGAAGGAGAGAGGGGAAAAGAGAAGAGAGGUUUGAAGUGAUAGAAGUCUUGAUGCAUGAGAUUAGUUUUUGCAUGGAGGGUAUUUAGCAUGGGAACCCUACAUGUAAAAAUGAUGUGUCGCCAUGCAAUUUACCCUAUUUUUUUUAACCUUGGGCCGAAAAUGGCUCUAAUGGGAUGAAGAAAAAUGGUUUUGGGCUCAAUGUCUUGGCUUUGAUCGAACUUCAUAGCCCCAAUAUUAUUUUUCGGCCCAUUGUGCUUAAGGACGAUUCACGACCCCUUUUGAAUAAAAGAAAUGGAGUUUAUGGCCCAACAAGGCCUAUUAGAGAUAAAAAUGAAUUAUUUUAGGCCCACAUGGCCCAAAACAAUCUAGUUUCAUGACUGUGGGUCCAAGUAGAGCCCAAACAGUCGAUUUGAAAGUUUAUUGGUCCAUUAGGCCCAAUAAGAGAAUCCUAAUCCAUAAUGAAUUUGAGCCGAAAUUUCUAGGGUUUCCAACCCUUAGUUGAACAUAUGAGAUGUAUGUGAAUGAGAAUAGAUUAUAGUAAGUAUAGCCUUUUUCAAUGGAUGAUGUUUACAUGGGAAUCGAAUUUCCUAGCAAAUGCUAGUUGUGACACCUCAAAUGGUUCACACAACACCAAAUACACUUGGAAUAGAUUAGAGAGAAAUCCACACUUCAUGAAAAUUGGCUAGCCCUUUCACAUAUAUUCUAGUGCCGAUUUUGUCAACAAUAAGAUGCUUAUAUAGUUAGUGACAAUUAGGGUAAACCCUAAUUGUCAUGGCUUUCCAUUUCCUUGGAUCUAUGGAUUCAAAUACACCAUGGAGAAUCCAUGGAGCAUCUUAUGGGUUUUAGCCCAACUUGACAAUCCAUAAAGCAUUAGCCCAUUAUACAAGUAUGGAUAAUUUAUACAAUCAACCGAAAUAUUUAAUUAGUCUUCUUUUGAUCACUUAAUUAAUCCUAGAUUAAUUCUUGAUCAAUACUAAUUAAAUAAUCUUAUUAAUAUAUUAAAACUUCUAAUAUAUUAACAAACCUUAAGUGUUAUUUCUCUCAUUUUAGUCUAUCCAAAUGCAUGAUGUCAUGCAACCCAAAUGGACCAUGCUGGGUCGGGUCAAGUCUUACCAAUUAUAGUUAUUGACUUAGACAUUAAUCCAACAAUCCAGUCUGGGGGCAGUUUUGAUGCAACGUGGUUGUGUGAUUGCUUACGCUUUGAGGCAGCUGAAGCCUCAUGAUGCGAAUUAUUCGACACAUGAUUUGGAGCUGGGAGUCGUGGUAUCACACUCAAGAUUUAGCGGCAUUACCUCUAUGGGGUUCAUUGUACCAUCUACACGGACCACAAUAGCUUGAGGUAUCUAAUGGAUCAGCCGAAUCUGAACAUGAGGCAACAUCGUUGGUUAGAUGCGGUGAAAGAUUAUGAUUGUGAGAUCCUUUAUCACCCAGGGAAGUCCAAUGUGGUGGUCGAUGCUCUUAGUCACAAGGCAAUCGCGGCUCCAAUAAGAGAUAUAUGUUUGAGGAUGACCGUGAUUACUCAAUUAUUGGAGCGGAUUCAUGAGGCUCAUGCAGGGUAUAUGAAGGAAGAGCAUCGAAAGAGUGAACGCAUUGUAGGUUAGGUGGCUUCCUUCGAUUAUGGUAGCCAUGGAUUGCUGACUCUGCAUCGGCGAGUAUGGGUACCUUAUUGGGGUGGUUUGUGUCAGGUUCUUAUGAAGGAGGCAGGCACACGAGUCGAGGUUCUCCAUUCAUCCCGGGGCGACAAAGAUGUAUAGGGAUCUUCGUCCUAACUAUUGGUGGCCCUGCAUGAAGCGGUAUGUGGAAUGGUAUGUUGAGCGAUGCCUGACUUGCAGGAAAGUCAAUGUUGAGCAUCAGCGUCCUCACGGCAAGAUGCAGCCGUUGGAGCAUAUGGAAAUGGAAGACAUAACUGUGGACUUUAUUAUGAAGCUUCCCAGGACUGCGCGCAUAGUGGAUUCUAUCUGGGUCAUCGUGGAUCAUUUGACUAAGAUGACAUAUUUCAUUAUGAUCCAGGAGAGUAUUUAUAUAGAGAAGUUGGCCGAGAUUUAUGUCCGGGAGGUAGUGGCACGUCAUAGGGUGCCGAUAUCAAUGGUUUCAGACAUGGAUGUUCAUUUUACUUCCAGAUUUUGGAAGCGGUUUCAUGACAAGAUAGACACUCGUCUCCUUUUUAGUAUAACAUUUCAUUCAUAGACCAAUGGUCAAAGUGAGCGGACUAUUUAGACUCUUGAGGAUAUGUUGCAUGCGUGCGUGUUGGAUUUUGGUGGGAGUUAGGAUACGCAUCUUCCAUUAGCGGAGUUUUCGUAUAACAACAGUUAUCACGCCAGCAUCGAUCGACCUUCUUUUGAGAUGCUCUACGGGAGGAAAUGCAGUACCCCGAUUUGUUGGGGCGAGGUCGGUCAGCGAGUUAUGGGGAGUACCGAGGUGGUGCUCAAGACCACUAAGUUGAUUAAGCAGGUUCGAAGCAGGCUCCAGACAGCUGGGAGUCGGCAGAAGAGUUAUGUCGACAGGCAUCGAUCAGACUUAGAGUUAUAGAUGGGAUAUAUGGUUCUCCUGAAGGUGUCACCUUGGAGAGGUGUUAUCCCGUUCAGGAAGCGGGGCAAGCUGGGCCCCAAGUAUAUUGGUCCCUUAAGAGUUUUAGCUCGAGUGGGCCGAGUUGCGUAUUGUUUAGAUCUUUCAGCCGAGCUCAGUUUGAUUCAUAACACAUUUCAUGUCACUCAGUUGCAUAAGUGUUUAGUGGAUGACUUUGCAGUUGUACCUUUGGAGAAUAUUCAGGUGGAUGACCGUCUGAAUUAUAUUGAGAGACCGGUGGCAAUUUUAGAUCGAAAGAUGAAAACCUUGAGGAACAAGAUUAUGGAGUUUGUAAAGGUGCAGUAGUUGUACCACAAAGGGUCAGAGUGGACUUGGGAACCCGAGGAGGAGAUGAGGGAACAUUAUCCAGAGUUGUUCGAGACGGCGGACUUCAAGGAUGAAGUCUGAUUCAAGUGGGGGAGAAUUGUAAUGCUUGAUAAUUUCCAAGGUAUUUAUUUAAUUUGGAUUUAUUUAAUUGUUAUGAGUUGGGCCUUGAAUCAUUGGAUUUUUCUUAUUGGGCUUAGGGUGUUAAGUACGCAGGGUGUACCACCCUAUGUAUGCAAGGCGUACUGAUGUAGAAUGAUCGCGGGUGCCAUGCAUGUACACGCUGCGUACAAAGGAGUACGCACAACGUAUGUAUCUAGUCCCUAAAACCAUACUAUUUAGGGUUUUAGCACUAUUUAAAGAACAUUAUAACUUAAGGAUCUUCUUUAUCAGCCUCCAACUUGCCCCUAAAUAGCCUCCACAAAACCCUAGCCCAAUUGUUGAGUGAUAUUGAGCUUGGAAGGUCUUUUGAGUGCGUUUUGGUGUGUUUUGUCCCAUUUUCAAGGAAGAUAAGGUUGGAGCAAGGUGGUGGUUCAAGGAGAAUUUUAUAGAUCUGGAUUAUCUGCCGCAUUUCAAGCUUGUGCAAGGUAUAAAUCUUGAUCUUGAUCUUUAGAAGCUUAGAUCUCCAUGUUUUAGCUUUUGGACCCUUUUUGGUCCCAUAAAUAAGCUCUUGUGGAUUGUUUUCGUUUCUGAAGCUUAGAGUUGCUAGUCUUGGUGUUCUUUGGGUCCUAGAGGCAUAAAGUUGCCACCUUUGAAGCUUUAAUCCAACCAUGUUUGAGUAAUUGCCAUUUUUGUGGAAGUAGAAUGUUAUAUUUCAAGUUUGGGCUCAUUUGGGGCAUGCAAAGCCACCAAUUUGAUGACUUUAUGGGUUAAGACGUUGCAAAUGACUCAGAUUUGUGAUUGUAACUCUUGGACUUAAGUGGUUAAGAGAUUUUUGGAGAAAUGGCUUAUUGGGUGAGUAUGUUGGGCGUAUAAUUGGGGUGGAAAAUCGGACCAUCGUGUCGUGUUUUUGUCCGACACGACAUGACACGACAAAAUUUUAUGUAACACAAACACGACACGACACGAUCUCGUAUUUUUUUUAACUAACACGAAAACGAACCGGUUAAAAAACGACAAACAUGACACGACACGACAAAGAUAACAUGAAAUAACAAUUAAUGUAUUUAAUUAAUGUGUAUUUAUACAUAACACGACAAACACAAAAAACACGACAAAAAAUGUUAAAUCGUGUCAAUUUCAUGUCAAAUUUUGAACACGAACACAACACGACACGACUUCGUGUUUUUUACACUUGACACGAACACGAAUUCGAAUUUCAAUUUCGUCUCAAUUUCGUUUCGUGUCGUGUAUUUUUGUCGUGUCGUGUCAUCAAUCGUCACCCCUAGCGUACAGGCUCGUACAUGCAGCAUACAAGCCAUGCAGCGUGUAUGCUUGGUGUACAGCCGAGUACGCCUCGCGUACUCAGGCAGUUGGGCUUGGCGUUGUUUGGGCAUCGAGUUUGGCCAUUUUCUUGGACCUUGUUGCUUUGGGCCUUUUGGGCCAUCUGGAAUUAAUAUUUUGGAUUAAGGAAUUUUAGUGGGCCUUAGGCCAAGGGCCAUUUGGGGGUUUGAGCCCAAUUUGGAAAAUUGGGCCAUAAGUGGGCCUUUGUGGAUCUUUUGGUUUUGGGCCUUAUUGGUUUAUGGUUUUAGGCCUUAGUUUUGGAUCAAGCUAGGCCAGGGGUAAUAUGGUCAUUUUACCCCAAGUAUGGAUUAUUGAUUAUAGUUUGGAACCUAAGUGUUGAUUAGGUGGUAUUUUGUACUAAUAGCUCGGGGAGUCGUCAUGGUAGCAACUGGGGAUUUAUUUCUGUGAGAUUCAACAUUUGAGGUGAGUUUCCUCAAUGGGUUUAGCGGGUCUAAGGCACCAAUGCUGACCCUUAUUAAUUAUGUUAGGAUGCUAAGAGUUUGUGUGACCCUUGCAUGCGUUAUGUGUUGUUGUAUGUAUACCGGGCGAGGCUCGAUGCUAAGCAUGACAUGAGGAUUGGAACAUAUGCUAGUGUUAUGAUCAUUAUAUGUGUUAGCAUGAUUAUGUAAUAUUGAUUGUAUGUGUAUAAAGGGCGAGACCCAGUGACAUGCGAGGCAUGAGAAUAACAUAUUUGUAUACCGAGCGGGGCCCGAUGCCGGGCGGGGGCCCAAUGCAUGAUUUAUUAUGUAUGGUAUGGGGUAGUUUGGGGAACUCACUAAGCUUUGUGCUUACAGUUUUCAAAUUAUGUUUAGGGUACUUCCAGUGGCAAUGAGAAGAACUCGGGGUGACUGCAUUGCACAUACCAUAUGGAUUCUGUUUAUUGGGCACGCUCUAAUUUUUCCUGAUAUCUGACAUACUUAUUUUAUUUGGGUUGUAUGAACUAUGAUUGGAAAUACUGUUUUCACUUGAAUGAAAAAUGAAAAUUUUAGGUCGUAUUUUUGGGUUGUUACAUUGUUUGUUUUUUUGUCGGUCUUGAAUAUCAACGACUCUAUGUAAGUAAUCUGUUGUCCCUGGUUGAAGUUGAAUGUGUCCAGGUUCCGUAGGCGAAUAGUCUACAAUGUUUCGUCAUUUAUUUUCAAUCACCAUGUUAUGCAGAAUGAUACAUGCAUACAUAAUAUCUCGUAGAGUGUCCAACUCGUAUGGUCGUUCCGCAUGUUCAACUAUGUGACAUUUUGCUUUCAGAACUCUGAAAGUACGUUCCACGUCCUUACGUGCUCCUUAUUGUCUUCUCUUGAAAAAUUUGUUUAUCGGUUAUAUCUGGUGUCGAAACGCCAUCACAAACGUGGAAUAUGGUGGGUAUAUUCCAUCCGUGAGGUAAUACCCGAACUUAUACUCAUCGUCAUUUACUGUGAAAGGAGCAUCUGGUGCCUUUCCUGUCAAAAGGUCCUGAAAUAUUGGUGACUAAUGAAGAACGUUUACGUCGUUGUUAGAACCCGCAACUCCAAAAAAAGCAUGCCAAAUCCAUAAGUCUUGUGACGCAACAACCUCUAAUACUAACGAAGACGAUCCAAGAUGAUCACUUGUGUAUUGACCUUUCUAUGCCACAUGACAAUUUCUCCAUAUCGACUUUGUGCAAUCAAUGCUUCCAAGCAUUCCCGAAAAACUAUGUCGUUCUUCUUGCGCCGCAUAUAGUUAUUGCAUGUCAUUCAAUGAACGUUUGCGCAAGUAUUUGUCACUGAAGGUUUUGAUAACACCUCUCGCCAAUCUAUACAAACUUUCUCAUGCAGUUCACUCUGACAAUCUAUAAUAAUAUAAACAUAUAUUUAAUUUUUAAAACAACUGUAAUUACGGUACUUGCUUUCCAUUGCAUUGACUAUUCGUUGAAACACAUUUUUCCGCAAACGAAACCUUCUUUUAAAAUCGCUAGGUUGGUAGACACAAUUAUCCGCAAAAUAAUCGUGUACUAGACGUCUAUUCCCUUUGAUGCGUGCAAAUUAUACCUACCUAGCUACACCUAAUUUUAUAUUUAUAACCUAACUAACUUAACUAACUAAAUUGCACCUAGGCACUGUACUUAGUCAAAUUAUAGAAUAGUCGGGUAAGUCGGGUGUCGAUCAUAGGGAAGGGUUUUAACUAAUUAAUCUACCUACUAUUAAAUUAACCUAAUUUCUAAUAAAGUGGGGGGGUUUUUUUUAUCUAAUUUUGCAAGUUUAGAUGAACUUAAUUCGUAACACAAAAUUCAAUCAAUUAACAAACACUUAUGUUAGUUCAAAUCCACUUCCCCUCAAUGGUUUAUAAAUUAGUUAUGACAAUUACUGUUGGUUACCAAUUAAGAUAGUAUUAGCAAUUCAGUUCUAAAUUUACUAACAUUGAUUAAUUAAUGUAAAUCUAUGCAUUGUCACACAAUAGUUAACUUAAAAUCAAUUAUUAAAUGAAAUUGGAGCCAUGUAAGAUUGAUUUGAAAAACACACUUAUGGUCAUAAUAUGAGUUCUCUAGCACAUCCUAAUUCAAUAGUUCAAUUAUUUUUCUAAGAUUUGUUUGAUCUUAGCUCUAAUAAACUAGUGUUCACUGAAUUAUUAAGUAUUCAAAUUCAUGCAUAUUCAUAUUCACUAACUACACAUAAUAAGAAUUUAAAGCAAUCAAAUAUUAAAUCAAACAUGCUAGGUUCAAUCAAUCAAACACAAGUCAUAACCAAAAAGUAAAUCAAAACUAAAGUAUUGAAACCAUGAGUUCCAGCUUCAUCUAGCUAACAGAAGCAGCUAGAUUUAGCUGGACAUACUAGCAAACAAACAUAAACAAAUCAUAUUCAAAGACAUAUUUAAAUGUACCAAACUAUUAAGCUAAUAAUGAACUUCUCCUUCUUCCUUGGUGUUGAAAGCCAAUUCCAAACGUUUUCUCCCUCUGGAUUUUGUCUCCAGGAACCCUCCAAGUUGUCCAAAAGUCCCUCAAAGUCGUAAUGAUCAAGAGAAUAUAUAGUUAUCAUAAAAUUCACUCUCACGUCGUGAAUGAGUAUGACUCACGACGUGAAUGCAGUAGAUAUCUGUGUUCUACAAGGAUUCCUCCUCCGCGAUGCUUAUCUUCUGGAAUAGUUCCAUUCACGUCGUGAAUAGUUAUGACUCACGACGUGAAGUUAGCAGAUUACAGGGAUUUCCUCUUCUUUCAUUCUCCAAGCCUCCAAAGUUCCAUGCUUUGUCAAUUUCAGUCAUUUUCUCCCAAAAUACUUCAAUUUGGCUGCAAAGUACAAUUAAAGCUUAUAAGCAUCAUUAUUUAAUGCAAAUAACCAAAAUAUUAAUAAAAAUGUAAGUAAAUAUUGCCCAAAAACAUGUAUAAAUAUGGCAGUAUCACCCUUCUUCACGAUCUCUGUUCAACGCCGCACGUCUGGUCAGUAGUGGAGCUGGCUUUGGCGGUAACAUGUAUGUAACAUAUCGAUACAUCAUACCCACGAACAUAUCAUUCUCGUCGAUAUCAUGAUUAUAUGGAUGAAACGGGUCAAAAGGUUCCAUUUUUUUUUUGUAAAUAGAAAUAUAGAAAAUAUAUUAAACUUGAUAGAAAUGUGUAUUAGAGAGAAUUAGAUAAAUUUUCUAUGUAAAGAUAAGUUAGAAUGUGUGUGUGUGUGUAUAUAUAUAUAUAUAUAUUAAAGUAAUUUUUUUUAUUAUUCGUGACCGUUCCACAUCGGUCAGAAAGUAGACCGUUUAUCCCGUUUCGUCCCGUUAUCACCCACACACCGAAUAUCGUAACGCCAAAAAAACGUGUACCUGGAGGCGGUGUUUGCACCGUUAUACCAACAUUUUUUGAUGUACACGUCGGAUUAACGGGCACUUCGGUUGCCCAUUCCGAGUAGUCUAAAUGUCAAAAUGCAAUGAAGAAAAAGAUUCAUUACAAAUGUCAAUUAUAAGUAUGUAGAAGGAUAAAAUAUAAAAAAGUUAUUAUCUUUUGGGAUAUACACAGUAAAGUCCCAAUAUUUUCAUCGAUUUGACAAGAAAAUCCUGAACUUUAUUUUUUUGACAGUAAAGUCCAAAUUACCGGCAGUUUUUGACACUUUUACAUUUUUUUCCCGAUUAGCCGGUAAUUAGGACUUUUUUGUCAACAAAAUAAAGUUUAGGACUUUCUUGUCAAAUCGUCAAUUAGGACUUUACUGUUAAAAAAAAAAAUAAAGUUUAGGACUUUUUUUGUCAAAUCGUUGAAAAAAUUGAGACUUUAGUGUAUAUAUAAUUUUUUUGGUUAGAAACUUAAUGAUAUGAUACUCUUUACGCAUAAGAGUUAUUGAAACAUUCUCUAAUCAGCUAGAUCAUAUUGAAAUCCUUUACGUUUGCUUCUUGUUAAAUCGUUAUUUUAAUCUCAACAAACUGACAUUGAAAAAAAUUGAGAUAAUCAAGAAAGAAAGAAAGAACCAGGGUUGUGUUGGCUUUUUGCAGUCUCAAAAAUGGAGAAAUUAGAAACCUACAAAAACGAAAAUGCCCUGACUUUUUACAAAUACAAACAACACGUGCCUAGUCAAAAUGGUGUGAAUGUGGAGAAGGGAAAGAAGGACAAUUUCGUUUUUUUCGGUUUCUUAUUUCUCCAUUUUUGGGGUUGCAAAAAGCCAACACAACCCUGGUUCUUUCUUUCUUUCUUGAUUAUCUCAAUUUUUUUCAAUGUCAGUUUGUUGAGAUUAAAAAAACGAUUUAACAAGAAGCAAACAUUAAUGAUUUCAAUAGAAUCUAGCAUAUUAGAGAAUGUUUCAAUAACUCUUAUGCUUAAAGAGUAUCAUACCAUUAAAUUUCUAACCAAAAAAAUUAUAUAUACACUAAAGUCCCAAUAUUUUCAACGAUUUGACAAAAAAAGUCAUAAACUUUAUUUUUUUUGACAGUAAAAUCCUAAUUGACGAUUUGACAAGAAAGUCCUAAACAUUAUUUUUUUUGACAAAAAAGUCAUAAUUACCGGUUAACCAGAAAAAAAUGGUAAAAAUGUCAAAAACUGUUGGUAAUUUGGACUUUACUGUCAAAAAAAUAAAAUUUAAAACUUUUUAUCAAAUCGAUGAAAAUAUUAGGACUUUAUGGUAUAUAUCCCUUAUAACUAAAUAGCAACUAUAAUGUGUGGAGUUUGGUAAAUUCCGCUUGGGUUUGGUCUCUACAACCCAUUCAACCCCAAGGCUAUUCUAGUAAUUUCCCCACUAGAAGGAGCUAGGUUCCGCUGCCUUUUAAGUCUAGGUUUUCACUAUCAUCACUCUCACUCAUCGUUUUGUGGUUUCCUGUGGAGAAGAGCAGCAGAUACUCAACAACUUGCAGGCUCUAUUUUCUCAUCGCCAUCAGGUAUCUGUAGGUGUCCUAAAAUCUACGGUUAGGGUUUUGUUAGCACAGUAAUUCAUGGAAAAUGUUGAAAUCUCACUUGUUACCGUCGAUUCAAUCUUUAUUUUUUAGGAAAAAACAUCGGUUCACCAUAUCGUUAUAAUUGUUAUGAUGAUUUUGGUAUCAUCGAUGAAGUUUUAUGUGUUAUGUUUUCGUUGUAAGCUGGAUGUUUCAGGAUGUUUGAUGAUGUGUGCGAGAAUUUCAUUUUAGGGUUUAUGGUGUAUGUUUGCUUUCUUAAAUAGCGUCUACAUGUUAGCUAAUAUAAAUAGUUACCUUGAUGUUUAUAUAUUGGUUGCCACUCGGCUUCUUCAUCUUUGAAAACAAUGCGAUUAGACCCCCCUUAGGUUUGGAUCUAUGCUUAGAUGUGGAUUGUGUAAUUUUUCUCGUGAAAACUAUUGGAUAAACUUGCUUCGUUUUUUGCACCAUGGAAAGCUUAUUUAUGAUUUAAGCCUGGUUCCAACUUUGUUUGUGGGGUUAAUUUGCUACUUUUAAUGUCUAUAUGUAAAGUAUCAGUUGCUCUCUUUUAGGGUUUAUGUUUAGGUGUCUUAUUACCUCGACAACAAGCAAUGGUGAUGGGAUUAGAUCAUAUGUGAAGUUCUUUUGGGGUGCAUGGAUUAUUGCAUGUGAUGCCCUAUAAUAGUUUUAAUAUAUCAAUGGCUGUAAAUUAUCUGUCCAUAUUAUGCUAUGGUUAUCUGUCUAUUAAACUGUUUUCUUUUUGAACAUGUAAUGUGCAGAAAGAGUGCUUUGAGGAAUGCUGGAUUGAUUGGUCCCAAAUACAAAGAAGAUGAGCAAGAAGAACCCAUUUGUAUACUUGGAUGUGUCUAUAGAUGGAGAUCCUGUUGAAAGGAUGGUUUUUGAGGUCUUUAUUAUAGCUUUAACCUUCUAAGAUCUUUCUUUUAUUCUUUUUUCUGCCAGAUGGCAUUGCCACAUCACUUAUUAUCAAGCUGAAAAACUAAUUCCUUUUAUAUGGUGUUACAGCUAUUCUCAGACACUGUUCCCAAGACUGCUGAGAACUUCCGGGCACUUUGUACUGGUAAAAUGUUCAUCAUAAUUGGUAUUCUUUUUGUCAUAAGUUUAUAAAACUGGAUGCUUUUUUAAAUUUCAGGAGAAAAAGGGAAUAGUCAGAAAACCGGGAAACCCCUACACUACAAAGGAUCCUUCUUUCAUCGCAUAAUCAAAGGAUCCAUGGCUCAGGUAUGUUUUCUAUCAAUUACUUUCAUAAAUUAUAUUGUUUUUUUUUUUUUGUUUUGUUAUUUUAUUUUCCACUUAGUUUCUUCUAGUUCUGGAUGUCUUGGUGGUGGUCUGUCUUUUUAGUCGGCUAUCCUUGUUUAAUCUGUAGGAUACAGGGUUGAUGGUUCCAACUGCUUUUCUUGUGAUGUAGUUUUUAAGGUUGUAAUUAUUUGGUUGUAUUUGUAAUAUCAUCACAUUCAUUCUGAAACAUAUCAUACAAAAUUUACAAAUCCAUCUUUCUGCAAUGAUUUCUGAAUAUAAUUUCUAUAAGUGAAUUAAUUCUUUGUAUUUUUUUUUUGCAGGGUGGGGAUUUUUAUAAACGUGAUGGUAUGUACAUUUUGCCACCAAUUUUUUUUAAUUUUUGUAUACAAAAUCCAUAUCUCAUUGGUUUACUUUUGCAGGAAGUUAUGGAGAAAGCAUAUAUGGAGGGAAGUUUCCAGGUGAGAAAAGUCACUAUGUUCAUUACUUGUGUUUUCUGUUUGAAUGUUGAUGAUCAUAAAUACAUAAUAUGUCUUUAGGUAGUUGAGGAUUUCAUUUAAUUUGUUUAAAAAGUGUAUGCAAAAGAAAUUGAAAUAAACCUUUUAGCUUCUAUCUCCCCAAAAUUUCUAUAUAUGUUUAUAUUUUGAGAGAAUGGGUUUCCUUUUUGAAUUGCCUGUGAAGGUGGGGGCUGACAUUGGUCUUAUUCUCGGUGCAUGGGAGCUCAACCCACAAUGAAAUGGGCAAAUUGUAAUUGUCUUGAAAAAUGGUGGGUGUAUGAAUAUUUUGUGUGCCUUUCUUUCUAGGUUUGAAAUCUUUGGUAAAAUACAAAGUAUUUGGUUUGGAUGAUUUAUGCAGCUAGUUAAGUCUAAUGUAUAAUGUAUGCUUUAUAUUUAUGCCCAAUACAUUGUCAUGAGUUUUUUUAUCUGGCUUUUUUUCCAUGUUAAGUUCCUGGCUACCUUAUUAUUAUUAUUUUGAAUUGGUUAUAAUCAAAAUUUGUUACAUUUCAGAUGAAUCCUCCAAACUGAAACAUGAUGCUCCUGGCCUUCUAACAAUGGCAAUUGCUGAUCGUGAUUCACGUGGCUCUUUAUUUAAUGUGACAUUUGGCGCUAAUCGCCACCUGGAUAGGUUUGCUCAUCUUUGUUGUUACAAUUUUAUGUUGGACAAAUUGAUAGAAAUAGCUACAUACCUUACUUUUGUUAUGGUUACAUAUUGCUAUUAUUGAUAAAAAAAAAGUGUUAAGUAUGUUGCUAUUACGGGUAAAAAAAUAAAUACACUGCAUGUAUUGGUAUUUCCUACAUGUUAUCUUUUUAUAUUUAUCUGAAAAGUUAGAGUUUUAGCAACAUUAACUGUCUAACUUUUGAUGGAAAAGGAAAUUUAAGUGUUGGAAAUGGAAUUUCUUGAACAGGAAGUAUGUUAUUUUUGGAAAGCUUGUUCAAGGACUUGAUGUAUUGAAGAAGAUAGAAAAUGUGGGUGAUGAAGAUGGAAUGCCAACUGUGACAGUGAAGAUCAUUUAUUGUGGGGAAGUAAACGAGAGUGAGAAUCAAAGCUCUGGUAUGGUGGAUAAUUAUUGCAUUUUUAAUGACAUAAUUGUUUGUUUAUUUUUUUAAAAUAAAGUCUCUGUUUUUGAUGUUUUUAUAGAUAAGAAGGCAGCCAGCAAGUUGAAAAGUGGGAAAGAUGUUUCUUCAGAGGUUCACAGCCAUGAAGUGAAGCGGAAGGGAAAGCACAAGAAAUCUUCAAAAGAUAAAAGGAAGAAAAGAAAAAGAUAUUCUUCAUCUGAUUCAGACAGUUCAUCUGACAUGGAAUCUGACUCAUCUGAUUCGGAUAGUGAUUCCGACUCUGAUGAUUCAUCCUCGUCAUCAUCUGAUGUCAGCUCUUCAAGUGAUGACAGGCGUAAGAGAAAAAAGAGAUCCAGAAAGGAUCGACACAAACGUGGAAAAAGAAAGGACAAAAAACGCGAGAAGAAGCGUAGGAGACGCGAUAAGAAAUCCAAACGUAAAUCAAAGAGGUUGGUAUGGUAUUUUAAUUUUAGUUAAACCUUAAAUAAAGUAAUGUUUUAUUCUUUAUAAAAGUUAUUAUAUAUCAUUUUGUAGGGUGUCUGGUAGCGGAAGUGAGAGUUCAAGUGAAAGCGAACAUGCGUCUGAGGACAAUAAUGGUGAUGUCAAAAAGCGAAACCGGAAACAUAAUAAUAGUAAUAAUAAAUCUCCUACAGCUGAAUUUGAAGAUGGUAAAACAGGAGAUGCAUUUGCAUUUGAUGGACAUGUAAAGGAGGAAGAAGGUGAAUACCCGAAAGAAAAUGGUGGGGACCGCCCAAGCAAUGGUGUUGACCUGGCGAAGGCUGAUAUAGUCGAUGACCAUCUCGGAAACUCUAGGUUCAAUCAAAUUUAAUAAAACUUUAUUAUUAUUAUUAUUAUUAAAUUCUUUCUAAUCUUAUUUUUUUUUUACUAAACAGAAGUAGAAGCAAAAGUCCUCCUCGAAGGGAAUUGAGCAAGAGUAUGAGUAUUAGCCCAAGGAGGAGUCAAAGUGUUAGUGGGACCCCUCCUAGACGGGCCCCAUCACGUAGCCCGGUCAGAAGCGAAAGCAGCAGCAAGAGUCCGGUUAGAAGCAUAAGCAGAAGUCCAGUGAGGGGCAAAAACGUCAGAAGCAUAACUCCCUCACCAUCACCUCCACGAAGGAGUGUUUCUAGAAGCCCACUGCGAACAUCGUCUAGAAAAUCCUCACGAAAAUCAGUAAGCAGAAGUCCGGUUAGAUCUUCCAGAAGAAGCUACAGCAGAAGCCCAGUCAGAUCAUCUAAAAGAAGCUUGAGCAGAAGCUCUGGUAGACCGCCUUUAAGAAGAAGCCCUAGCAGGAGUCCGGUCAGACCGCCUAUGAGGGGUGGUCGCCGGAGCUAUUCCAGGAGUCCGGUAGGUGGGCGUAGGGCGGCUAGGUCACCGGAGAGAAGCUUGUCUAGAAGCGCUUCACCUGAUGGCUCUCCCAAACGUAUCAGAAGAGGACGCGGUUUCAGUAACCGAUUUUCUUACGCACGCCGAUACCAUUCUCCCGAUCGCUCCCCGGUCAGAUCUUAUCGCUAUAGAAGUGACCGCGACCGUGACCGUGACCGGUAACAAACUAACAGCUAGCAAUUUUAAAUUAAGUUUUUUAAUAUAUUUAAUAUAAAAACAAUUAAACCAAUAUUUUGGUUUGUAGUUAUUCAAGCUAUAGAAGGCGCAGCCCACUGAGAGACAGAAGUCCACCAAGGUAUUUUGGAGUAAUAAUGGAAUCUUUUUUUUUGGUGAGAAAGUGAUUAUUUGAUUGUUAAAUUCAAUUAUUUACACAGGUACAGAGGGAGAAGAAGCAGGACACGGAGUCCGAGUGUGUCCCGGAGUCCUGUCCCUGUGCGGUACCGCCGGCGCUACAGUCGGAGCCGGUCGCCGGUGGAGACAUCAAGGUACAGGCCAUCACCGCCAGUGGAGAGGAGGAGGGCGCCACGCAGCAGGACCCCGCAUUCUCAAAGUAGGAGCCCGUAUGAACGUAGGUCCUCUCCAUCACCAUCUCCGAGAAGGAGCGUGAAGUCAAAGUCAAAGUCAAAAUCGCCAUCGAGAUCAAGGUCAAUGUCGAGGUCAAGAUCUAGGUCGUCUUCUGGAAGCCCACCUGGGAAGAAAGGACUGGUGUCGUAUGGAGAUGGUUCUCCAGACAGUCAGAAGUGAGAAGAGAAGAGAAAGAUCUUACUUUUGAGGGUGAAAUGAUUUAUAGACUUGGUAAUUGGUACACUAUGUAGGGUGGGUGUGUUUUGAAUAAUUUGACUAUUUCUCUUGUAUUUCUUUCUUCUUCUGUGGAGUGACUGUUGAGGUGCUGCUAGACUAGUAACGAUGAUUGGAUAUGUGUUUGUUUUUAAGAGGUUGGUUAGACUGAGGGGAAUGGGACCGAGUAUCAAUUAUGUUAUGUUUUAAAAAGCCUCUUCUGUUUUUAUCUUUAUUGUUAUGGUUUGCUCUUUGAUCAGUGCGACUUGAAGGUAGUUUGUGCAUUUAUAUAUGUAUUAACAUAAUCUUGUGUGCUUGAAUUGAUACAUUAUAUUAUAAUCUUUUCAAAGAAUAAGCUAACAAGUUAAAAGGAGGGUCAUCAAGAUGUAUUGAAUUAUUAAGUAGAUUGAGAGAAGAUUAUUUACCAUCUCUUUAAGACCGGUAAUAAUUGCGACAUAUGUAUUGUAUUUAGUUAUUUAUUAUUUAUUAACCGAUAAAAUUGGAAUAAGUUACCUAAAAUUUAGGGGAAAAUAUGAUUAAUUACGUAAGUUCAGGGGGUAUUUUGGUUUACGGCAACAGCAGGCGACGUGUAGAAGAAGAAUCUCGGGAACCCUAGCAGAGGUUUGUUUCUCAAUCCUACGCCGCUACGACCAUUGCCGCUUUCUCCACUCCACGAUGAUAACAAAGAAACAUCCGUCGCCGUUUCUCAAUCCAACGGUAAUAUGAUUUACUUGUUCGUUAUUAUUUGAAUCUAUUAAACACAAGAUAUAAGCCGAAGCAUUUUGAUUGAAAUAAGACAGUAACCAAUAAAUACUAAAAGCCAAUCUCUUUUCUGUAGCUUGGUAACAUUUGUAUUACUAAUAAAUGAUGAAUGUAUUAUUGAUUGUACUUGGGUUUUUGAUUGACAGGGUAACAUUAAUGAUAUUGAUCGUAAUGUUCUAUGCAAUGUGUUACACAUCAAACAAUGCUCCAAAGCCUCCCAAUAUAUGGUGAAGUUUACAAAGCAAAGGCAUUGGAAUCAUCAAACAAGUAUGUCUCUACCUUUUAUAAGCUUCUUCAUUUUCAGUAACAUUAUAGGAAUUAGACACUCUUUCUUUGUCACCACUGCAUUUGUGAUGGCAUUGGCAGCUGGUAAGCUUUGGGACACCAUUUCUGAAUGCAUCUCCCAAAUUCAAUCUGAUUGUGAUGAUGAAGCUAAAGAGAGGGCACUUCAAACCCUAGUUUCCAUCACAAAAGCAAGCCCUCCACACAGAAAUUUAGUCAUGCAGAAUCAGGAAGCCAUCCCCGCUCUCCUCUCCCUGCUCAAAUCCUCCUCCCGUGCUCUUGAAAGACUCUCACUUUCCAUCCUCUUCAACCUCUCAUUAAACCCUAAUCUCAAAUCCACCCUUGCUGACAUGGCAACCAUUCAACACCUCAAUACUGUGAUCCUGUCUCGUGGGUCACUCGAGUCUAGCAAACUAGCAGCUUCUUUGAUAUGCAGCCUGGCAAUGCUAGACAAGAAUAAAGCAGUGUUUGGGGUAGCGAAUACUAUUCAAGCAUUGUUGAAGGGAGUUUCAAGGCCUAAUAGUCCUGUGACACAUCACCUUCUCAGCUCACUUGCUGAGUUGGUGCACUUCCAUGGGAAUUGCACAUUGGCUGUUAGAUCAGGUGCAGUUGGUGUUCUCCUGAGAAUAGUUGAGAACAAAGACAGUGAAGAUCUUUGUGGGACUGCUCUUAGUAUUCUUGGGCUUCUUGCUAAGUUUGAUGAAGGGCUAAAAGCUUUGACAAAUACACCUAGUAUUGUGAGUAGAAUGCUUGAUGUGUUGAAAGGUAGGUCCAUGUUGAAUAAUGAAGGUGCAGCCGAGGUACUUCUUCGUGUUUUUGAUGAGAGUGAAGAAUGCUUGAGAGAUGCUAUCGGAUUGCCUGAUUUCAUGUAUACAUUAGCUGAGCUCUCGGUGAGAGGAUCAACGAGAGCUCGGGAGAAAGCUUCUCUACUGUUGAGAAAACUUGAGGCUAAUGAAUCAUAUGUAGAUGAUGAUCUGGUGUUCUUGAAAUGGUAAGGUAGGAUGCGUGUCUUAAGAAAAGUAACAUAAUAAGAGCUUUUGUUUGUUUUGUAGCACAUGAGUGUGCACAUUAUUAGGUCCUCUUUGAAGGUUUAGGUAAUGAAUAGAUGGGUUUGGUGUUAAAAAAGGCAUGGAGUUUAUAGGAUUGAAGCCAUGACUCACAAAACUACGAACUACAUAAAAAAUGAAUUUGAGAGUUACAUAAAGCCAUAAAGUUAAAUUUAUAAAGAAAGCAUAACUAUCUUGCAUCCAAAUACAACAACAACAACAAAUAAACCCAAAUCCCAUAAAGUCUUGUGAGGUAAGUGGGAGGUUUGAUGUAGGUGGUCUUAGUGUCUUGCCUCCACCCGUGGGUAGAGAGGCUACCUCUAUAGGAGACUUUCGCCAUGAUCAAGGAUGCACCAUACAUGAGCAAAUAAAAGCAAUAUACAAUUAAAUAUACUAAUACUAGAAAUAGUACUAAUUGUAAAAAUGAAAUAACAUAAGACGAUAAAUACUUAAAUGCCUAAAUGAUAAUACAAGAAACAAAACUUAUGCUACUACACUAACCUAAUUCUCCGUCUCCACUCCUACCUAUGUGAGGUCUGUAGAAGGUGCCAACUCCUUCGUGUCUAACCUCACACUAUAGUUACGUUGCGUCCUCGGUCGACCUCUCCUCUUCGCCUUACCGUAGAUGUGACGCCUCGAUCCAUUGAGUACCGUCAUCUAUCCUUAGUACACUUUAUUUUAAAUACAACUAAGAUAAUACCUUAGAUUUCAUCUUCAUCAUGGUUUAACAAAAUUACAUAAGCAAAAGUGCAUAAAAGAAAAACUAUUUUAACCGUUUAUAAUUCAUCCAAAAUUUCUGUUAAAACACUAACUACUUGUGGUCCUUCUUCUUUCCUGAGAUACAUACAUGAAUACAUAAGCUUUAAGUUUAGUGAGUAUUUUGGUUUUAAUAUUUAGCAUAAACAUUUGAUGGAAAAAUAACAAUUAAAUGCUUGAAAACAUUAAUUUGAGAUCUUAUAGCUACAUGUAAGUAGGCCCAACUUCUGGGAGGUUUGCUAACCUUGGGAUUCAUAUAAGGCUGUCCCAUAAGGUCCGUUUUUAAGACGUCCCUUCAUCCCAUACCCAAUGCGUUGGGUUACUUGGGUAUUUAAAUGACCGUACUUAACAUGAAUAAAACUUUCAUGCUAACUUCAUAAUAUGUUGUUAAAUGUCUUUGAAAAAUCAUUUGAGCAAGUGAACAUGGCAAAUAAUUUAAAUGCAUUGAACAUAUACGUAGCAUGUAUGUAUCCCAUUAAAUCACAUAAAUAUACUCACCUUUCUUUGAGCUUUUAGGCUUCUUUUUAAUCUUUUAAGUCACCACCAAGCUUGAUAGUGUAUUCUAGGAUGAAAAAAAAUGCUUAACUUCACUUGCUAUGUCUAGUAAAAUUGUGUGCAUUGCUUGCUUGUUCUUUAGGCCUAAAACAUAGUACAUUGUUGAUGAGAUGAUUACACCUAGUGUACUUGUUGUACCUCAUCUCCUUAGAAGCUUACACCUCAAGCCUCUAGCUCUUCUAUGUCAUCUUCCAGCUUAGCUUAAUCUCCUUAGAAGCUUACACCUCAAGCCUCUAGCUCUUCCAUGCCAUCUUCUAGCUUAGCUUAAUCACUCAAAAUCUAGGCAACGCUUAUCUCUACUUGUAUAUGCUAGCUUGGUUACUACUUUUAGCCUUGAUUUGUCAUGCUAAGCUUUGGUUUACUUGUAGCUGGUGUUGUGGUACUUGUAAGCAUAUGGUAAGCUACUUGUGUGCUUGCUUAUUUUCAACUUUUCUUUUUACAUAAAAUUUGCAACAUUCUUCUAUAACAACUAUUCUUAAAGUGUCCCUUAUGUUCUUUUAUAUUACAAGGGUGUUAUGGUAGAUGAUUGCCUCCUCUUGACAUAUCUAAACCACUAAAAUCUUUCUUUCCUCGAAUUUUCGGUGGUUCACGCAACUCCUAACUUAUUUAUGAUUAUAGCAUUCAGUAUUUUCUCCAACAUUGUUGUAAAGCAUAAACACUGAAGGAUCCUCAUUUCAGAAAUUUCCAUCUUCCUCUCAUGCUCUUUUUUUUCCGGCUAACAUUUGAAGCAACUACCACCUUGUAUCUUGCAUCCAAAUGAUGCCAAUGGUUGUUUUAAAACAAUUUUGGCUAAGGGUGUAGACUAGACAAAGCAAAGUAGAAGGAGAAACGAGGUUUAUUGGGUAGGGUUUAACAUGGACUAGGCUUAUAUAGACCACACUUUUAUCAUGUUAGAUAGUAGAUAGUUUUUUAUAAUGAUUUCUUAUGCAUCUUUAGCGUGGUCGUACAAUUAUGAAUAUUUAUAAUAGUUGGAUAAAUUUAUAAAAUAUGAAAGUGUUGUGGCAAAAUCUAGAGAUUUGAAACAUGUGAACCUACAUGUUUUAGACAUGACACUUUAGUGUCUUGUUUAGGGACCUAUUCCGUGUAAAUGCAUGUAAUUAUCACAUGAAGCUUGCAAAUUGAACUUAUUUUACUAAAUAUUAGGUGUAGACUACCAGGAAAGAAAUUUAAAGCCCAAAUUUGCUUGCCUUUUCUUUCAUUUCCUUUAUCGUGAGUUCGUGACCUUUCCCCUUUAUUGUGCCCUCGACAAUCGACAUAGGACAUCGCCGAGUGGUGCGUUUGCUAUCGUAUCUUUCGAUUGCACCUCAACUACACCUAAAACAACAAGAAUUUGUUUAUCGCAUUGAUAUUAAGGUAUCUUUUUCGAAUACUUAACCUUUAGAUCUAGUUUGAUCCCAAAUCGAUUAUUCCAAAAUUUUACUUGUAAUGCUUUAGUUAGGUAAAUUAUUUUGCAACCGGAAAGAAUUGGCUAGGGUUGUUUGGAAUAAAUGUUUGUGUGCUUCCGAUUACGCUAUCAAUAUUUCUUUACAUUUUUGUUAAUAGGAUUAAUGUCAAUGAACUUAACUUGUAUAUGGAAUGUCAUAAUUAUGAUUUCCAUUCCAUGAUAAACAAUGUUAGGGCCUUAUUAAUGAGAUAAUUCUUUAAUUAAGGUAGUUAUUUAAUUACUUAGAAGCAGUGAUGAUAGUUUGUUAAGCUUUGGUGUCAUGGAUGGUGUCACUUAGAUCAUGAGAGAGAUAGAGAGAAGGGAAGGGGGGGGGGGGGAUCUUAUGGGCCAUCAUUUGUACCCAUCUAGUAGAAUGACGAGAGAGUCGAGUUCCAUAGGUCUUGGAUAUUUCUUCCAUUUCAUAGUGGAUGAUAGUGGGUAUCUUACUAUGAUUUCCUUCUUUGUAUCUCCAAAUUAGCAAAGGGUUUAAAGGCAUUUAGCUACAACUCAUUGCCUUAUUGUGGUUGUAAAUAAUAUGUCCAUCUUUUUGCACAUGUUAUGCUUUUUUCGUAAUCUAGUGGGAAAUUGUGUUAGAUCUUUUGAUAUCCUCGUUUAUAUAGAGGGACACGUUUGAGAACAUGAACCAUAAAUUUUGGAUAUAAUGAUAUUAACUAUGUUGAGACAUCUUUUUGGUUUUAAGAUGAAUUUUGGUUUUACUCCCACCAUUAUCCCAUUUUCUUUGGUUUUUCCUCUCAUUUUUGGACCAUUGACUCUAGUCGUAGUCAAAUCUCAUCUUUACCAUUUUAUAUGGACCUUGUUGCUCAAACCUCAUCUUUAAUAUCGCUAUGCGGCGGUGUUUGGGAUUGCUUUUCAAAACAACCUAUUGACUUAUUGGCUUUUUGAAAAGCCAAUAAGUCAAAAAUAAUGUUUGGCAAACUCAAAAGCAUUUUUCAAAAUAACUUUUCCAUUAGCUUCAAAAAGGAGAUUUCAAAAAGCAGGUAAAACUUGGCUUUUUGAAACUCCUUUUAGCUUUUUAAUCAUAAUAGCUUCAAAAAAGAGAUUUUAAGCCUAACAUUUUUUUUAAACUUAUUGCCUUAUUGGAUUUUGCCAUCUCAAAAGCUAAUCCAAACACUUUUUUAAGUCAAUAAGCACUUUUUCCCAACAACACUUUUGGAAUUCAAAAAGCAGUCCCAAACACCCCCUUGUUCCAACCAUGUGUUGUCAAUGCACCAAGAUCUUCAGUUUUGAUCUGAGCCUUGGCCUACAUUAGUGCUGGCUUUGACUAUUAAGUUCUACCUGAGUUGGGUGUCACUAGCAUUUUCUCAAGAGAUUACUUGAUCUUUCAUUAUUCUACCUUGGUGUCUUUUAGCAGAGCAUCAGAGUUUUCUCUAUUGAGUCAAGAAAUUCUAAACCUUUUAUAUUGCUGGUCGCCUAUAGAUGUUUUUUCCAAUCCAUGACUUGUAAACUACGGCGUUCUCUGUUCUUAUAGAUUUGGUCCUUGAAUUUUAUGCAAGAAAUAUUUUAUAAUGCUUAUUUAAAAAAGAAAAAACUAAUGUAAUGCAAUGUUUAGAAGAGGAAGAAUGAGCAUGGUGGGAGAUUGGAUUUGUGGGUCAUGCAAUCACUUAAACUUUUACUGGAGAGAAUCAUGCAGGAGAUGCAAAGAGCCACGAUCCCAAGACAUGAAUGCAGCUGUGAGUGCGGGCCCCAGGGUGUUUGCUUUUAGGCCCGGGGAUUGGUUCUGUGAUGUUGGGAUUUGUCAGGCUCACAACUUUGCAAGCCGAAGAUUCUGUUUCAAAUGUGGUGUAAUUAAAAGCAUACCAUCUUUUGGUCCUACUGUAGGACUAGGAUACUACCCUACCCUUCCCCUUCCCCCUCCCCCUCCUCCUUUCUUGAGUUUCAGUUUCAUGAAUCCCAGAAUCAGCCAACGAGGCUGGAAGCCUGGCGACUGGUUUUGUGGCAGGGGGUUUUUUUUUUAAUUUUUUUUUUUUUUUUUUUUUUUUUAUUUUAAAUAUUUUUUUUUUUUUUAAAUAUANUUUAUCUUUUUUCAUAUUUUUUUUUUUUUUUUUUUUUUUAAUUAAGGUCAUAAUCAUUAUUCAUUAAUACUAGUUGAUUCUCAUUCAUAUAAUCAUAUGAUAUGAUAUAGGCCUGGCUGUAAUGCACACAACUACGCUUCCCGAAUGAUAUGUUUCAAGUGCAAGUCUUCUAGGGAAUUGGUUACCAAUGUUUCUAAUUGAUUCCUUCCUUGCAUUCCGAAUUCUGGUAAAGAUUUUUGUUUUUUUUUUUCUUAUGAAUGUGUGUGUAAUUUAUGUCAUGUUUUUCAGGUCCUAUGGUUAUGCUAUCACCUCUGUUAGGAGAGAGGGAGAGUCAGAGUUGUUGUUUUUUCGUUCAGAUCUUGUUAUAUCUUAUGUGUUUCUUUUUAUUUCUGUUGGUUGCAUUGCAAUGGAGUUUGAAUCUGGUAUGAAGUUUACAUGAAUUAAUGAAGGAUGUAAUUAUAAGUGGUUUCUUCAGUUUGAAUGUGAUGAUUAUGGAUGGAUGGAUGGAGUUAUAAGAUUUUUGUGGCAAUUUGGUUGGAUCAUAUGUGUAGUUGUAAGAAAAGUUCAUUCAACUGGGUUGUUGAGUUUCAUACACAUUCAUUUGCAAAUGGUAAUUUGACAAGGAUUUUUUUUAAUAUAGCUGAUUUUGGAAAUUUUGGUCUUCAAAUGAUUUUUUUGUUUUUUGUUUUUGUUUGUUUGUUUGUUUUUUUUUUUUUUUUUUUUUUUUUUUUUUUUUUUUUUUUUUGUUUGUUUGUUUGUAAUGGUCUAUGUUCCAAAUAAAAUGACUUUUUUUUUUGUUUCCUAAGUUAUACCUGAUUUUUGCAGUUUUAUCACAAAAAUAGUCAUUUUCUUGGUACGAGGACCAAAAUCAUUAAAAAGAGGAUCAAAAUUGCAAAAAAAAAACUCACCUCAAAAUUGCAAAAGAAAACUCACAGACCAAAAUUACAAUUCAAAAUUACAAAAAGAGGACAUACUACCUAAUUCAUUGAUGAUUAAAGUGGGACAUUGUUUAGUCGUAUUCAAUAAUAUAUAGAAGUAGGAUCGGGUGAUGACUUGAAAAAUAGUGAGGAUUGCGAUGACAAAUCUUGGAUGUUUGUUGGUUUAAAUGGGUGGUUGAGAUAAAUCAAAAUUAAUAAAUAAACAAAAAAAAAAUCGUCCAAUGACAUUUUUGUAAAUAAAAUCAAGUUAGGAUCACUUUCCAAUUAAAGGGCAAUGUCUGGGGGUCAUAACUGUCAAAGGAAAUAAUAAAAUUUUGUUGCUGAAAUGAACUCCACGCACAAAAGGUGCGUCGCCAACUCUAUGGAUCUUACUCUUGAACACGUUUCGCCACCAGGUUUACUUGGGUUUAUUUAUUUAUUUUUAUUUUUCAUGGAUCUUACUCUCGUAUGAACUUGUAUAAGUAGUCCCCGGAAAUGUAUUGACCUGAACUUCAUGAAUAUGGCUUCGUAAUCUGGUUUGGAUGGGUUCUAACGGGAAAAAAACAGGUCUUGAACAAGCUGUUGUUUCGAGUUAAAAUCUGAAAAUUUAACCUAGUUGUUUAAUUAUAUGUUUAAGGUGAAUAUCCCUAUUUAAUCUUGAUUGUUAUUCUUAGGAGUUUUGAAAGGUGACCGGGUGCGAAUGGGUUCUGGUUUCAGUUGGAGGUUUACUCUACUACUUGAGGUGAGUUUCUCACUACACUGUGUAAUGUUGUGCAUUCUUUGCUUUAGCUCGUGUGUGUUAUAGUAUGUUUAUACGGGUAACACUAGAUUGGGUUAGUAUCUAGUGGGAGUAUGUUAUUUGUUCAUGUAUUGAAGAAUAUGUAUAGAAGGGAUCGACGUAUCCGAGCAGAGGAUCGGGCAUAGCCAGUGUGUCCCAAGGGGUCGACGAAUUGAGCAAGGGGGAUCGGGCAUGACCAAUGUGUCCCAAUGGGUUCGGGUGAUCGGGCUUAUCCAAUGUGCCCCAAUGGCUCGAUGUAUCGAGCAAAGGGGAUCAGACAUAACUAAUGUGUCCUAGUAGGUGUAUGUUGUUAUUGAUUCGCUCUUUGACAUGCAUACGUGUUUGUGUGGUUGAUAUUGUUGUUAUAUGUGUAUUAAGGGUAGAGCUUGUAUGAUAUAGACAUAUAGUAUUGUGUAUGUGUGAAAUCCCCUAAGCUUUGUGCUAUUCCCUUUUCCCUUAAAAAAAUACCAUUUCAGGAUUAACAUGUACUUAGGAUGGCAGGGUGUGAUAGUACACACCGGCUCAGUACGGAUUGAUGAAGUUUUCAUAUUACCUUGGAUUAUGUUUCUUUGAUUUUGGAAUUUAUAAUUAACAAAUGGUUUUUGAAAUUUAUUGAUCUUGGGAUUAUGGUUUUAAAACUUAUUUUGAAAAAAAGUCAUGGUUUUGAAUAUACUUAUAUUGUUUUUAGAAGUUCAAAUUUAUUGUAAAUUUUAGGAUGUUACACAAUUGUAUUGGAUUGAGUGCGAAAUUUGAAAAUCCAAUUGGAUUACUUGAAGGCAAUGUUACUUUGUUAGUCUUAUUUAGCAUAAUUGUGUGCGGUUUUAUUUUUAGUUAUCGUAGUUAUAUUUGGUUAUUCGAUAGAAAGAGAUUAGAAUUGGUUGGAUAAUGGAUAACUACUGAAUUAAACCAAUAAAAAAAUAUCCAAUAGAUAGAAUCGAUCUAAUCCAACAUCCAAUUGGAUCGAUUUGGUUUGAUUUUUUUAUGAUGAAUUGGAUUGGACCGGUUGACAAAUCCAACAUCUAAUGGAUGAUUAGAUUGGAUUGGUUCCAUCGAAAUCCAUUGGAUUUGAACCGCUGAUCACCCAUAAUUUGGUUAUUAUGUUUUUUUCAAUCAGCUGCUGGAACAUGAUGGUUCUAAAAACAUUUUGCAAAAAGGUAAGAAUCAGCCAUAAAGUCACAUUACCUUUCAUUGUUGAUGGUUGUGGAAUGUGAACUACUUUUUAUUAAAUUAUAAAUUAUCUAAGGAUGAAACUGCAUUUCCUUUCUUCAUAUCACUAUAACACAUUACAUUAUUUUUGUAUGUUUUUAUAACAUCAAAUCUUUGUUGUGAAACAAGGUUUAUUAUUAACAUGAGUUGGUUUGAGCUUUAACAAAAUUUUAAGAUAAUUAACUAUUUCAUACAAAUGAUUGUUCCAUGGAUUAUAUCAUUAUUAUUAUUAUUAUUAUUAUUAUUAUUAUCAUUAUAAAUCUUAUAAUAGAAGUCACUUGUGACAUAUAUCCUUAUUAUUAUCAUUAUCAUCAUUAUAAAUCUUAUAAUAGAAGUCACUUAUGACGCGGUUCAAGAUAACUCCCUAUAUUGAAGUGCAAAUAAUAAAGAUACGAAUGAUGGAUGUUACGUAAUAAGAUUAUAAUUUGAAAUAGUAUGCUAGAAAGUAACAUGACAAACAAAUCCUGAAACCGUAAACAACAAACAUACAAAAGCCAGUUUGGUAUCAAGAACAAGGUUGGACCGAAACCGUAAACAACAAACAUACAAAAGCCAGUUUGGUCCAAAACCCGAAACCCGAUUUAGUACCCGGAACUGGACCGGACCGAACCCCGACCCGCUACACCUAAAAACGGUCCAGUUCUCGGGUAAGGUAAUUCAUGGUUUUCGGUCUUCAGGCUGGUCCGGUUCGGGUUCUGCUCGUUGCUCUAUAUUGAACCAUAUUAAUUUGAAACUACGAAAACUCUUCGGCUUAUAUUUUAAGUUUCUAUUUGGUGUGUUAGCUGAAAAAACUAGUUUUUAACUUAUAAGCUAGUUUAUCCAUAAACUAUCUCGGAUAACUUAGACAAAACUGCAAAAUUGGUCCUUGUGGUAUGCAUUUUUUCUGAGGUUUAAUCCAAACCUCGAUUUUUUUGGAUUGGUGGUCCUUUUUGGUCCCUUGAAAAAUUGAAAAGACUAAAAUGCCCUUCUGAACAGUUUAUAUGUUAUUUUCUAUUUAAUUUAAAAUUAUAUUAAUUAAAAAUAUAGGGCCCACCUCUUUCUUUCUUUCUUUCUUUCUCUCUCUCUCUCUCUCUCUCUCUAUAUAUAUAUAUAGCCAUUUGGGUUUGUCUUUGACAAACAUCUAAUAACAUCUUCAUAAAUUCAAGAACACUCAAGAACAUCUUAUGCCAUCACCACCAUUCGACCACCGUCCUCCACCACCACUGUCUGCCACCUCCAUCUCCACCUGAACUUUUUAUACCACUUUAUAUCCGCCUAAAAUCAUCCCAAAAACAAAAAUCAUACACAAAAUAUGGGUUUGUUCUUGAGUUUCCCCUUAAAAAUAAUCACUAGAUCUGAUGCCUCAUCAAGAGCUCAUGAACACACACACCCACCCACAUUCAAGAACACAUUCAUGAACCCCAUAUCUGAUGAGCACACAAACACAAACACACAUUAUAUCAGAUCUGAUGAAGGGUUUUUGGAUGAACACAUUCAAGAACAAAUUUUUGAACCCUAGAUAUAAGGAACACACGAACAAAAUCAGAUCGAGUUCAUGGGUUCUCGGGUUCUUCAUCCAAAAAACAAAGAUCUAAAACCAAAACGAACAUUUGACCCCUCAGUGGCAGAUUUCUUCGUCCCCAUCUUCCAAAAACCCAUAUUGUAUGUGUGUAUUUUGUGACAUCCCCGAUUUCACGGCCACAAAAGACCGAUUUGAUUAUGAUUAUUUAAAUCAGAAUAUUCUUUUCAAAAGAGUAAUAAUGUGGAAUUUGUUCCAAAAAAUAUGACAAUAUCAUUAUUAAAGCAUUUCCGAGGAAAUGUAUUUCAUUUAUAUUUAAAAACCUUGGGAUGUCAUGGUCAAUACAACAACAUAAGCAUAAAACGUAAUAUUACAGGCCUUACAAUAGUUUAUUAUUCUAUUGGCCUAUUCUCCUUUAAAUCUCACUCCAAAUUUAAACUCAUCACACCUAUGCUCUUACGCUGCUACCUGUGAAACAAAGAAACUGAGUGGGUUAGGCUUCGGAAAGCCUGAUGAGCACAUAGGGUUUUCAACCCACAAUAAUUAAAUUUAUUAAUUUCAUCAAUCAAUCAACUCGGUUAUCCGUUCCCGUUAUCCUCACUUUUUGUCCCUAAAACAUCUAAAUUAAGGGACUUAGCCUAAGGAUUUUUCAUCGGGGUGACAGCACUGCAUAGGGGAUUCCUCAACAAUAUAUGUUAAAAGGCAACCAUAGGGGAAUGGAGUACAUCUGGUGAACAUUUAGUUCAAAAACACCUACAUGUUUCGAGCCUACCACCGUUCCACUAGACUGUCUAGAAUAGUUUGUGGUCGUCAUCUAUACUCCGCUAGAUGACUGGAUCAUCUUAAACACUCUAGGCCUAUCAUUAUUUAUUUUAUCAUCUAUAUCAUCUACCCAUCUUUACCCUUUAUAUUUAUAGGUACAAAAUACAUACAUAGUUUAAAUCGAAUAAAACAUGUAUAUUUUGUUCAUCCAACAUACAUAUCAAGAACACAGAUAAUAUACACACAUAACACGUAAUUUUUAUUAAAUACUUCAUAUUUAUGUAUAAGAUGAAAAUAACUAUGCACUCACUUGACUAGUUAGUGGUUACUAACUAUGUUCUUAAUCGUCGUUAUAUCACACUUUCUUUAUUUAUGACUCCUUGCUCGAAAAUUCUGAACUCUAAUUUCAAAAUUUCUGGCCCUUCUUUAUAUCGAGUAUAUCUUUGGCUAUUAUUGUUUUCUAUCAUAAGAAUUGCUCAAAGGAUACCUCUAUUUAUAUAAAGGAUUUUUGAAUCGCCCGUACAAUAUCAAAAGAUUAGUCACCCAAAAAAAUUACACGUAUAACUUCAAUAAAUUAGAUGUGUACGAACAUACUUGAAAGGUUAACACAUAUUCUUCUGAUAUUGACUCUAAAUUAGAAGGUGUAUUAUUACUUCUCUUUUGUCAACACAUAUCAUUUUAAUUAAUAAAAUAUGUACGACAUGUAUUAUAUUUCUUACAGGUAUGUUGGUUUGCAAUUUACAAAUCAAUUAUAGUUACAUUUAUGGUCCAUAAGUUAUUAUUGUAUUAACACAAUAUAUCAUUCAAGUUACACUGUAGUCCCUCAGCUGCAUGGAGCCCCUAAUAAGAAUAAAGAACAAGUAAGAGACGAUCACCCACUUAUUUGUUUGGAUCGGUCCGAUCCAAUCAAAUUAAGUAAAUUCAACUUAAUUCCGGUUUACAAAACAUUGAUUCAAAUAGUUCAAACUAAAUUCAAAUUCGGUAUGAAUUAAUCAAAUUACAAUUCGAUUUUCAAGAGUCGGAAUGUUUUAAAAUAGUUAUAAUUUGAAUAUUAGCUGACUUUAUAAAAGAAAUAUAAUCAAAUGGUUAGUUGUAAAUUAAAAUUUAUAAACUGUUAAGGAAAAUAUAUUUUGAUUCAUUAGAUAAAAAAAUCUUGAAAAAAAAAUACAUAUUAAGGUUUUUAUUAGGAGAGUGUUUCUAACCUAUUUAAAAAACAAUUCAGUAAAUUAAUAAAUAAUUAAAAGUAUAUAUUAAAAAUUAAAAUAUAUAUAUCUAUUCUAAUAAAUGAAAGUGUUUUUUGUCACAUGUUACACUCUCACUCAAUUUAUCAAAUGUCAUUUUGUGGUUAUUUUGAAUUAAUUUAUUUUUCCAAAUGUCAUGUUAUGUUUUUUUUUUUAUUUUAAUAAAGUUCACAUAAUAUUUAAAUGUAAUAAUUACAAUAAAUUUAGUAAUAAAUAAAUAUAAAUUUCAUUAAUGGAUAAAAAAAUCAAUUUUAAAAGAUAAAAAAAAUCAAUUUUUAUAAUUCAUUAUUUUUUUUUUAUAAAUUCAAAGUUCUUAAAUAUUUAGACAUUUAUAAUUAAUUUUUUUGAUUAACUCAUAUAAUCCAUGAGUCUUAUAGUUUACAAAAUAUUUAUCAAAUAAAGAUAUACUUGCAUGCUGUAAGAUAAUUUUUUUUACUAAUUUACCACCCCGGCCUUUCUAACAAUAAUUUGUAUUAUAUAAAAGACAAUGUUUUCUAAAUAAAUAAAAGAUAUUAGUUUAUUUUAUAUAUAGACAACCACAUAUCAUUUCCAUAUAUAACAUGAUGGUUGUUCAGAUCCGUGAUUAUUUAAUUUAAACUAUUAAAUAUGUAUUUUAUGAGUCGGUGAUUUCUAACACUAUUAAAAAAAGGGACAUUGUAACGAAACUAAAAGGCCGAGUUUCCUGUAAGCAGCUGACUGAAGCCAGACAGUCAAGCCAAGCUGAUUCUCCCCGCUCUCGACCAAAAUCUAUUACUAUUUUCAUCAUCACCGACACCCUCCCCCUCUCUUUUCUUAACAAAUCAAUACAAAUGAUUAAUAUGCAGUAAUCAUCGAAAGUGAGAUCAAGAAUGGGCCCUUUUCUUCUCACGCCAAUGCCCAUCAAACUUCAUUGAUUAUCAAGUUCCUUCAAAUUCAAAUCAAGAACGAAAAAAUCAAUUUCUAUCAUCUGGGGCUCUUCUUUAGUCCCCUGUUUCUACUUUAAUUGGAAUACAUGGAGGCAAAUGCAGGAUUAGUUGCCGGAUCUCAUAAGAGGAACGAGUUGGUGAGAAUAAGACAUGAUUCCGAUGGAGGGGUAUGUGUUCUUUCGAUUUUUCUUGAAUACCCUUUUGGAUUUUGAGUGUUCAGAAAUCAAUUUUAUCGACUCUUGUAUAGAUCUAAGUGAUUUAACAGUAGGCUAUUUUGUUUAACCCAAGUUUGUUUAUUUUGUUUGGAUCUGAGUGAUCAGUGUGACCAGUGAGCUCAGUAAUGAGUGAUGAUACGACUUUUGACUUAUUAAUCCUACCUUUUUGUUAAAUCUUCAAAGAGGGUUUUUUGUUAAAUUUGUGGAUUUAGAUCUGAAUCAUCGAGAUGAAAGUUUCUGUUUUCAGCGCCCAUCUUGAUUAAUUUGACAAAAUUUUCAGCUUUAGCACAUGAUGAUUUCUUAAAUUAUUUAAUUUUGAUUGUGACGUUGAGUGUUGAUGAUGCAGCCGAAGCCUUUAAAGAAUAUGAAUGGACAGAUAUGUCAAAUCUGUGGCGACACCGUCGGCCUGACUGAAAACGGCGACGUUUUUGUUGCUUGCAACGAGUGCGCAUUCCCGGUUUGUAGACCCUGCUACGAGUACGAAAGAAGAGACGGAAAUCAAGCAUGCCCUCAAUGCAAAACUCGAUACAAAAGACACAAAGGUUAGUUUUUGAGUUUUUGUUCGUAUCAAGAACACAUCAAACAUAUGAUUUUUGUAAGAAUUAAAGAGAGAUACAAAUGUUUUUAGGGAGUCCCCGAGUUGACGGUGAUGAUGACGAGGACGAUGUUGAUGACCUGGAAAACGAGUUUGAUUAUGCACAAGGGAGACGACAAUGGCAAGGAGAAGAUCCGGAUCUUUCUUCAUCUUCUAGAAGACAUGAAUCACAGCAACCAGUUCCCCUUCUCACUAAUGGCCAACAAGUAAGAAAAUUACUUAUAUACCCUUUUGUUCUAAGCAUUACCUUUUUAACUAAAUUCAGAGUGUUAUUUUCAGGUAUCUGGUGAAAUCCCAAUUGCCACACCGGACAAUCUAUCUGUAAGAAGUACAUCGGGUCCAUUAGGCCCUGGUGACAAGCCUGUCCGCUAUAUGGAUCCAAGACAACCAGGUUACUUUCUUUUUUUUUUUUUUUUUUUUUAAAAAAAAAGUAUUAUUAUUAAUCAGAUAAUGUUGUAGUAAUUAUGCUAAUGAUGCCCUUUUAAUAAAUAGUUCCUGUAAGAAUUGUGGACCCAUCAAAGGAUUUAAAUUCAUAUGGGCUUGGGAAUGUGGACUGGAAGGAAAGGGUAGAAGGCUGGAAACUAAAACAAGACAAAAACAUAAUGCAAAUGGCAAACAGAUACAAUGGCGGUGAAGGGAGAGGAGGUGAGAUUGAAGGCACGGGAUCAAAUGGAGAAGAAUUGCAACUGUAAGUAGUAAACUAAAGGGUACUUUAGGAAUAUCAUAUUUGUCGACUUAUGAUUUGACUUUUUUUUUUUUUUUUUUUUUUUUUUUUUUUUANUUUGUUUUGUUUUUUUUUUUUUUUUUUUUUUUUUUUUUUUUUUUUUUUUUAAAUAUAUAUAGGGUUGAUGAUCCAAGACAAUUAAUGAGCCGUGUGGUGCCUAUUUCAUCUUCUCAUUUGACUCCAUAUCGAGUUGUGAUUAUAUUGCGAUUGAUUAUUUUGGGAUUUUUCUUGCAAUAUCGGUUGACUCAUCCUGUUAAUGAUGCGUAUCCUUUGUGGCUUGUAUCUGUUAUUUGUGAGGUGUGGUUUGCUUUUUCUUGGCUUCUUGAUCAAUUUCCAAAAUGGUCCCCCGUUGAACGUGAGACCUUCCUUGAUCGCCUUGCAUUGAGGUAAGUAAGUAAUGGGAUUUAGAUUUUGGGCUAAUUGCAAGAAAUAGCAAUGUACUUUCAUUUGUAGUCAUCAUCAUGGGCAAUUAGGUAAUUUUAGCUUAAACAAUGAAAAUUUGUUGUUUUGUAGGUUUGAUAGGGAAGGAGAGCCUUCACAAUUGGCACCUAUAGAUGUCUUUGUGAGUACAGUGGAUCCAUUAAAAGAGCCUCCUCUCAUCACUGCAAACACAGUGUUGUCUAUUCUUGCUGUGGAGUAUCCUGUUGACAAAGUCUCCUGCUAUGUAUCUGAUGAUGGAUCUGCUAUGCUUACAUUUGAGUCUCUUUCUGAGACAGCAGAGUUUGCAAAAAAGUGGGUCCCAUUCUGCAAGAAGCAUAGCAUCGAGCCCAGAGCCCCUGAGUUUUAUUUUGCUCAAAAGAUAGAUUACUUGAAGGACAAGAUCCAGCCUUCUUUCGUCAAAGAACGUAGAGCAAUGAAGGUGAGUUUUACCACUUUUAUGUUUUAUGUUUUAUGAUUUCUUCCAGUGUUUUACCAAAUACCUAAAACACCCUUUUAUGGCAGAGAGAAUACGAAGAAUUCAAAGUUCGGGUCAAUGCACUUGUAGCAAAAGCACAAAAGAUGCCGGAAGAAGGCUGGUCUAUGCAGGAUGGAACUCCUUGGCCUGGAAACAACCCCCGUGAUCAUCCUGGAAUGAUUCAGGUAUUUGAAUGAUUGUUUGGUUGCUGAAAAUUUGUAUAUCAACAGUUGAUUGUUGACUUCUCUUGUUUAUGAUGAUUGGAAUUGGAUAGGUGUUCUUGGGGCACAGUGGAGGUUGCGAUACAGAUGGAAAUGAGCUACCUCGUCUUGUUUACGUGUCCCGUGAAAAACGUCCUGGGUUUCAACAUCACAAGAAAGCCGGUGCCAUGAAUGCUUUGGUAUGGAUCUCUUAAAAAAACAUGGAAAUUUUUUGUGUUUAUUGGUUGUUUAUGGAUGCGAUGCAAUUUGGUGUUACAGAUUAGGGUUUCGGCGGUUUUGACGAAUGGCGCGUACCUUUUGAACGUCGAUUGUGAUCACUACUUCAACAACAGCAAAGCUCUAAAAGAAGCCAUGUGUUUCAUGAUGGAUCCUGCCUAUGGAAAGAAGACAUGCUAUGUUCAAUUCCCACAGAGAUUCGACGGGAUUGAUUUACACGAUCGAUAUGCUAAUCGCAAUAUCGUCUUCUUCGAUGUGCUUUUCUGAACUUUACAGAGUCAAACUUAAAAAAAAAAAUUCAAAUUCAAAUUCCGAUCUUGUUGGGAUUUCAAAAAUCAAAAAUUGACAUUUCUAUAUAUAUAUAUUUUGUACAGAUUAACUUGAAAGGGCUGGAUGGGAUUCAGGGGCCGGUUUACGUGGGAACUGGUUGCUGUUUCAAUCGACGAGCUCUGUAUGGAUACGACCCUGUUUUAACAGAGGCUGAUUUAGAACCAAAUAUCAUUGUGAAAAGCUGUUGUGGUUCACGAAAGAAGUCGAGAAACGUUAACAAGAAGUACGUGGAUAAAAAAGCAGUGAUGAAAAGAACGGAAUCCAACACUCCAAUUUUAAACAUGGAUGAUAUCGAUGAGGGUGUUGAAGGUUUGAUUUUGAGUCUUUCACUUUAGUUUGUGGGUCCAGUGAAUCAUUAAUGUUGACUAAAUUCUUUUGUUUUUGAAAGGGUAUGAUGAAGAUAGAUCGUUACUAAUAUCGCAAAAGAGCUUAGAGAAGCGAUUUGGUCAAUCUCCUGUAUUUGUUGCUGCAACUUUCAUGGAGAUGGGAGGAAUUCCCCCCACUACCAAUCCAGCUACCCUUUUGAAGGAAGCAAUACAUGUUAUUAGCUGUGGUUAUGAGGAUAAAACCGAGUGGGGUAAAGAGGUAAUUUUACCCUUCUAGCUUCCGAUUCUUGUUAUACAUGGUCAUCGGAAAAACAAUAAUCUUCAUGUUAUUUUGUUUUGUGUACAAAUGCAAGCAGAUUGGAUGGAUUUAUGGGUCUGUGACAGAAGAUAUUUUAACUGGAUUCAAGAUGCACACAAGAGGAUGGAUCUCAAUAUAUUGCAUGCCACAACGUCCGGCUUUCAAGGGUUCUGCUCCGAUCAAUCUUUCCGAUCGUCUGAACCAGGUCCUCCGGUGGGCUUUAGGUUCAAUCGAGAUUUUACUCAGUAGACAUUGCCCCAUCUGGUAUGGGUAUAAUGGUAAAUUAAAACUCCUGGAGAGGCUCGCAUACAUAAACACCAUCGUCUAUCCCCUCACCUCCAUCCCUCUUCUAGCCUACUGUGUACUUCCGGCCGUCUGCCUUCUCACCGGAAAAUUCAUCAUCCCCGAGGUACGUUAAUCAUGCUUUAUGAGUUGUACGAUAUGCAUGAAUGUUUGUACAUGUUGAAAAUUGGGGGUUUUGCAACAGAUAAGCAACUAUGCUAGUAUGUGGUUUAUUCUUCUCUUUAUCUCCAUCGCUGCAACCGGAAUCUUGGAGCUCCGGUGGAGUGGCGUGAGUAUUGAAGACUGGUGGAGAAACGAACAGUUUUGGGUGAUAGGAGGCACGUCCGCUCAUCUAUUCGCCGUCUUCCAAGGUCUUCUCAAAGUUCUCGCCGGAAUCGACACCAAUUUCACCGUCACAUCCAAGGCAAACGACGAAGACGGUGAUUUUGCAGAACUCUAUAUAUUCAAAUGGACGGCGCUCCUCAUCCCACCCACCAGUGUUCUGAUCGUAAACCUAAUCGGCAUAGUUUCCGGCGUUUCAUCUGCAAUCAACAGCGGUUACCAGUCGUGGGGCCCACUUUUUGGGAAACUGUUUUUUGCAAUCUGGGUUAUCGUCCAUUUAUACCCGUUUCUCAAAGGUCUGUUGGGUCGGCAAAAUCGAACCCCCACCAUUGUUAUCGUGUGGUCGAUUCUGCUUGCUUCGAUUUUCUCCCUUUUGUGGGUUCGUAUCGACCCCUUUACCACAGACGAUACUCUUGAUGCAGUUAAAGGACAAUGCGGGAUCGAUUGUUAGGUAUAUAUAUAUAAAGUUUCUGAUUUGCAAAUUUGUGUAAGCCGUGAUGUGAUGCGAUGUGAUGUGUACGAAUGAUAUAAUUAUUUGAUUUAUUGUUGUUAUCCCACGAAUUCAAUGAAAAAUUUAAGUAUAACCUUAUCUUAAUAUGUCGGUUCAUUACAUUCAAUUAAGUUGAGUUGUAUGCAAAUUUCUUGUUAUUAUACAGUAUAUUACAAAAUUCAAACACUAUCUUCUUCAUAUUUAAUUUCAUGAAUUUAGUCUUCAACAAGUACAUAUAUAUAAAACAAAACAUGAAAUUCCAUACACACCAAGGUUCAUGUCAGAUCCUGAAACAAAAGAUUAAAGAAAAUAAAGUUAGAUGGUUGUAAAUUGUAACCUAAUGAAAUAUAAGAAAAGUUGGGGUUUUACUUACUCAAUAUAUUCAACGUUGAUUUUCUCCCUUUGAGACUUGGAAAUGGCAGAAAAAGCAUCAUUUGACAAAACAAUAGUCGAAGGACACGGCCUUUUGGAACAAAAAUCUACCACCUUAACAUCAAUGGUACCAUCUCUACAUGGUUUAUUAUUUCCACUCAAACACUUGAGUCUGUAUCGCCUACCACAUGCUGCACCGUUAUCCCAUAGUCCUUCGCUCACUGACACAAAUAAGUUCCCCAAUGGGAAUUGAUCUGCUCGGUUGCCAUUGCACCUUGUGGCUACAUUAAAAAUACAUAUAAAAAAAAAUACUUCAAUUUAACUAUUAUUUAUUUAUUUAUUUACAAUGUCAAAAACAUAAUAAUUAGAAUCAUAUUUAAACUUACGUGUAUAAGGAGGCUCAUAGGAUGAGGCAGUGCCAAUUUCACUCAAACCACACUUGAUGUUAUUGAAGAUUAACAAUAAAAAUAAAUUCACAAUCACUCCAAUUCCCAUCGCUACAAAUUCCCUUUUCUUUUUUCUCUCUCUCUGUCAAAUACUAUGGUAGUAAGAUGCACCCCCUUGGAUUAUAUAUAGAUAUCGUAUGGAUUUAUUUAAAAGAUAUAGGUAUAGUUUGAGAUAUAUUGUCACGUGUUUUUUAAUAGAAAUGUGCUUAGCAUGUAUAUAGAAUGAAUGAAAAGUUGGUGAUCAAAUUGGAUAAACUAUAGAUGUUUAAUGUGAUAUAUAUCUACCUUUGCGCAUGAAAAAUGGAUUUAAUAGGUUUUGGUCAAUUGUGAUAUAAAGUUCUUGAUGCCUACCACUAAUUAGUUUAAGGAAAGAUGGUUUCUAACGUAAACAUAAAACAACUUUUCUAUCGUCUCUUUUAAACAGAAAAAAUAGUCAAUUUUGACAAUGGCACAAAAAGGCAAUGGAAAAGCAUAUGUAAGGAUUAUUAGAUAAAACGAUAGUGUUUUAAUGGAGAAAAAUUAUAUUUUCGGUGAAUUUUUUUUAGUUGAUAAACCCAUUGUUGGUGUCGAAUCUAUGAAAUUAUUUUGGCUUAUACGUCGGCUGACCGAUAUGAUUACCAAAGAAAGGUGCAUCCAGUACAAUCACCACUAACUAAAACCAAUGGCUCUAAACUGUUCGCAAUUUUUUAAGGAAGGGAAAUUCAUAUUUGAAUUCGUCACUACAAAGUGUUACAUGAUUCGUUAUUAAUAAAUAUUUUAUAUUACCUUUUAUCAUAUAAAUAAACAAUCCAAAUUUUAUUUUUAGAUGCAUAUUUCACAAAGCUUUUGUGUUUUUUUCGGUUCAAGUUUGUGUUAAAGUAAUUCAAUAUAGAUGGAGAAUGUCGUUCAAUAAAAGUAGUUUGUGUUAAAGUAAUUCUAUACAGAUGGAAAAUGAUGUUCAAUAAAAGUUUAGAAUAUCAGAUAAUCAAAAUUAGUUUGUCGAUAAGAUUUAUUAUUUUAAAAGAUGGGAUAUAUAUACUAAACUCUCAAUAUUUUUAACGAUUCAACAAAAAAGUCUUAAAUUUUAUUUUUUUAGAGUAAAAUCCUAACUAGCGGCAGUUUUUGACAUGUUUACCAUUUUUUGCCAGUUAGCCAGUAAUUAUGGUUUUACUAUAAAAAAAUAAAAUUUAUGACUUUCUUUUUCAAAUCGUGAAUUAAGACAUUACUGUAAAAAAAAAUUAAAGUUUAGGACUUUCUUAUCAAAUCGUUAAAAAUAUAGGGACUUUAGUGUAUAUAUCCAUUUUUUUGUUAGAAAUUUAAUGUCAUUAUAAUCUUUAAGUAUAAGAGUUAUUGAAAUCUGACCAAUAUGCUCUGGUCAACUAGAUUCUAUUAAAAUCAUUAACGUUUGAUUCUUGUUAAAUAGUUUUUUUUUAAUCUCAACAAAUCGACAUUGAAAAAAAUAAAGAUAAUCAAGAAAGAAAGAACCACGAUUGUGUUGAAUUUUUGCAUAAUGAUAAUCAAGAAAGAAAGAACCAGUAUCGUGUUGAGUUUUUUGCAAUCCUAAAAAUGGAGAAUUAAGAAACCGGAAAAGAAGAAAUUGUCCUUCUUACACAUUCUCCACAUUCACACAUUUUUUACCGGACAUGUGUUGUUUGUGUUUGUUGAAUUUGUUCCUCUUUUCAGUUCAAGAUUUGACGGCGAACCAAGAAAAAAGUUUUACAAGUCUUCUUACCCUCUAUCGUUCUCUCUUUUGCAUCAGUUUCCCAGAUUGUGAUCGUAGCAAAGUAAGAUGAUGAUGGUAAGAAAAAACAAUGGUGUUGCAAUAAAAAUCACAAUUAAAAGUUCUUGGGAUAGGAAUUAGGUCUCAUGAGACUGAUAAAAUUAUUUGUUUCUAGGGAAACCAAACCUAUACACUAAAGUCUCAAUAUUUUUAACGAUUUAACAAAAAAGUCAUAAACUUUAUUUUUUUGACAGUAAAACCCUAAUUACCGGCUAACCGGCAAAAAAGAGUAAAUGUUUCAAAAACUGUCGAUAAUUAGGAUUUUACUGUCAAUUGAUUUUAAUAUUUUCAUGCAAAAGACAACUGUAUUACGAAAGAAAUAACUGUUAACCGUAACUACAAUAAGGUAUUAAAGUUAUAGAAGUUUCAAUCCUAAUAACGCAUAAUUUUCACUUUUGGUUUAAUAUGUUUAUAUUAUUUAUCUAAAAAACAAAAUCAUAAUAAAUAUAUUUUGAUUAAAUGUCACAGAAAAACCACGCCCAUGUCAAUUUUGAUUGUUACAAAAUGACAAUUUUUUUGAAAAGAGAUAUCAUACCGUAUUAAUAAGGUGGUGUUUGUUUUUUUUUCAAAAGCUCUUCUAGACCUUUUAUGUCUGCAUCGCGUAGACGACCCACAAACUUUUAGUCCUAUAGACUGUUUGUUUUUUAGAAGACCGUACGCAUAAAAAAAUCUGUCCAUCCUCUUCUUGACGUAGAUGUGAACAUAUGUCUUCUAGUCUCUUUCUUAAUCUUUCCACUAAUCUUAAGAGACAAUAAAAAAGCGCAAAAAGAAUAAAAAAAUGAAAAAAAAAACCUAUCAAACCUCAUUCGUGCACCUUUUUUUUUAAUUCAUUUGCCAUGUAAACACUUUGUAAAUAUAUUAUUUUAAUGAUUUUAGCUUUAUAAACUUUAUUUGGUCAAAUAAUUUUUUGGUAUUCAUAUUUUAAAAAACUUUAUGCAUAUUUAUCCGAUGACUUUUUAUAACAGUAAUUAAAAAAGUUAAAUAUACUACAAAACUUAUGAAAGUAUUUUACGAACGUGUUUUUUUUCUUCAUAAAAUGGACAAUUAAUUUGUUAUAUAUAUAUAUAUAUGCUUAUUAUAUGAUAACUAGGCUCGUGCGUGUGAACAAGUCUCCGUUUGCCACCUAGCACGGUAUCUNNNNNNNNNNNNNNNNNNNNNNNNNNNNNNNNNNNNNNNNNNNNNNNNNNNNNNNNNNNNNNNNNNNNNNNNNNNNNNNNNNNNNNNNNNNNNNNNNNNNNNNNNNNNNNNNNNNNAUAUAUAUAUAUAUAUUGAAAAUAAGGUGGUUGUAUUAUUAAAUUACAAUGUUUUUAUAUAAGAAAUAUUGAAAAAGUCUUUUAAAUUAAAAAAAAAAUCAAUUUAUUUAGGUUUUAAUUUAUUUUAGCAGUUUGUAGAUUUUAAAAAACAAACAGUCUUCUUGCAGACUGCAGACGUUUGGUCCAUAUCUUCUACUGCAGAUGUCGUCCGCAGACUGCAGACAUUUUGCUUCUGAAAAACAAACACCAUCUAAGUUUCAAACGCAUAAACAUUUAUUAACAAAAGACAUGUAAACGUGGAUUAUGAACUAAUGACAUAGAUAUACGAUAAGUACUAUAAAGAGGAAAAAGCAUAGUUAAGAUUGACCCAAAUUGUAAUGAUUAUAGUCUUGCUAAUGUAAAUAUUUAAUUAGUUUUUCUUGAUAAUCAUGAUAAAUGAUACUUUUUGACUCAUGAGUGAUGAAUAAACAAUAGUAUAUAUAGAUUUACUAAGACGAAAAAAGACAUGAGUUUUAAUGAUAGAAUAUUAUUGAAAAAAUAAUAAAGAAUAUGAUCAACUUUAAAUUAGUGCCCGGAUAAAAUCGAAGUUUUAGAAAGUGCUGAUUAGUGGCGAUCCUUCAUUUUUUUAUAACUUUAUUUCAAAUUAAUGGUAAUCAUGUAUAAUAAUUAAUAAACUUACAAUACGCUAAUAUACAUUACAAUCAUUUUCAUCCUAUGUGAAAAUAAUUUUUGACAUAUUAUUCGUUUUCAAAUUAUAUAGAUGCAUAGGCAAUAAUAUGUCUUUUAUGUGAAAUAAUGUGUGUUUUUUUUAUGUGAAAACAUGUUUUUUAUAUAUAAAAAUAUAUUUUCACAUAAAAAAAACCUGUUAUGCAAAAAACCUUUUGGACCAAAUUUAUAUAGAAACAUAUUUUUCACAUAUAAAAACCUUUUUAUAACAAAAAUGUUUUGUAAAAAAGGUUUUUAGUAUAAAUAUGAUUUUAUAAAGCAAAAAUAACAUAUUUCGAAACAAAAUUUUGGAAAAAUAUAUGUAAAAAAAACAAAAUUUAAGAUGAAAUUGUAACAAAAUUUUAAAAUAGGGACAAAAAUAUAAAAAUUGGACCAAAUUUAUAACAAAAUUUAAAAUCUGAGAAAAAAAUGUAAAUUUUAAAACUGGGAUGACCUUAUAGCCGGGAAAAAUGAUGAAAAUGAAUAUAUUUACCUGUAUUCGUAUCUUAAUUAAAAAAAUAAUAAUUUAAAUACUUAAUUGAAUAUAAGGUUAAAAAUAUAAACACUUUAUAGAUUUUCCUAUACUAAAUACUAUAGCAAAAUAUGUGGAAUUUGGUAUUUAGUAACUUUGGUCUCACUUUUGUUAAAUUUCUAUUUUCUAUCAUUUUACUUUUUGAAAAUUCGUUUUUACCUCUCGAUUUUUCUACUUAUUAACUUUGGUCCAUCACUUUUGUUAAGUUCUCAAAUUUUCAUCCUUUUUACUUUUGAAAUUGUUGCUUUUACCCCCUUUAACUUUCAACUUUCUAGAUACUCAACUCACUCAGCAUGAAGUAUAAGAAAAAAGAGAAGAGAGAGAGAGAGAGAGAGAGAGGAAGCAGCGGGCUGAAGAACCCACAUGAGACGUCUUCUGGCGGUAACCACCAAGGCGUGGAUUUGUUACCCUAGCCGUCGCACGACUCCGUGCACCCUUGGAGAGUAAUCAGUGUUAAAACACUAAGUUGCUUGAAAUAAGGAAUUUGAAGUUAAAUUGAAAAUUUAAAUGUAGAUACGAAAACACAUCAUCUUGCUAACUUGACAACUUAACGCCAUCUUAAGUGGAUACCAUAGAAUGACCCACGAGUGGCGAAUUUAAAAAAAGAAUCACAUGGUUCCUAAUUAAGUGAAGCCAAUAAAAAAAAUCAACAAUACUUUUGGAGUCGGGUCAGGUCGGCUCAUGUACCUUAAAAGAACUGAACAAGUUCAAUCGGCUCAUGUACCUUGUAACGACCCGUCUCUGGUAUGUUGUUUCCAUGUUAUUUAUUUAGAAGUUUUCAAGAGGGACUCGGGGAGUCUAUAGCCCGACUCGUCGAGUAGAGACGGGAUUUCGAGCACGUGUAAGUCGCCGACUCAACGAGUCCAUAUUCGAGACUCGGCGAGUCCGCCUGCUAGGAAGAAACCCUAAAUCCCCGGGUUUGCUCACUAUUUAAGCAAUGUUAUGUGCCCCAAACUCGCCUCCUUCACCCUCAGAGAGCUUGAGAGAAACCCUAAACCAUUCCUUGUAUGACUAAAGUGUUUUGUGUGGAUUCUUGAAGGAAAAAGAAGAAAGGACCCAAAAAGAGGAAGUGUAGAGCAAAGAUCCAAGGCCAAAGUCAGAGUUCAUUGAGGUAUGUCUCGGAAUUAUUCUGUUUUGUGCUUAAAACCUCCAUUAGAACACCUCUAAGGCUAGUUUAAUGUAUUUUCCAAGCUUUAUAGUUGUAUGGAUGCCUUGUUGGGUCGAGAUAUCCCUAGAUCUGUUCAUUUAGGAGUUUUAGAGCCCUGAUCUAGUGCCUUUUCGAAGUUUCUUUGCUUGAGAACCCUAGAUCUAGCCUUUAUUAUGCUUUUUGAGCCUUUUAAUCUUCAUGGGUGCAUAUGGGCACGUAAAGAUAGAAUCUUUACGUGUUAAUCGAGCUUAGGGAGCCCAGAUCUAUAAGUUUUAUGCGUUGGAUUCAAGCAGAAUCGAGUUUAUAGUAGCUGCAUGCAUGCGACUCGGCGAGUCGUUCUUCCGACUCGGUGAGUCGAGUCGUGAGUCCCCGAUUUUUCCUCUUUUGAGUAAUGCCGAGUGGGGACCAGUGAGUAGUAGAGUGGACUUAGUGAGCUGGAGGUCAGACUCAGUAAUGGAGGGACUCGACGAGUUGUUCAUACAACUCGGCGAGUCCAAGGCAAUCUUCUUAGCUCAAGAACAACUCGUCGAGUUGUUCAUACGACUCGGCGAGUCGGAUGCAGAUAGCUUGAGUUCUAGAAUCGAAAGGAAACUCGUCGAGUUUAUGCCAUACUCGACGAGUAGCAGCGAGUAGGGUUGAGAAGUGAGAAUAGGGACUAGGCGAGUUGGCGGCCCAACUCGGCGAGUCAGGUCAACUGUAGGUUGACUUUGACCAGGAGAGUUGACUUUGACCAGGGGUAAAAGAAUCAUUUUACCCCAAUACAGUGAUUAGUAUUUGAUUGAGUGUGUUUAUGGAAUUGUAGCCGGAGAGAUACCAGAGCAGCAGCAGAUAGCUUCCAGAGCCAUACAUUCAGCAGCCAGUUUACGAGGUGAGUUUCCUACCAGUAGGAACGGGUCUACGACAACAAUGCCGGCCCGUUUAGCUAGCAGUUAGUUCCGGACUUCGGUCCGAAGCAGUAGUUCAAGGUGCUUGAUGUUGUGUUUCGGGCAUGUCUAUGUGUUAUGUUAGCAGAUACGUGUUUAUGUUAUGCUAUGUUCAGACAGUUCCGGAUUUCGGUCCGAUGCAGCUAGUUCCGGACUCCGGUCCGAUGCAGGGGACAAGGUCCCAGUCAGUUCCGGAUUUCGGUCCGAUGCAGACAGUUUCGGACUUCGGUCCGAUGCAGUCAAUUCCAGACUUCGGUCCGAUGCAGUGGGCAAGGCCCAGUAUGUGCUUUAUUUGUUAUUGUGUGGUAUGCGGUAGUUUAGGGGAGCUCACUAAGCUUCGUGCUUACAGUUUCAGUUUUGGUUUCAGGUACUUCCGCAAGUAAAGGGAAGAACUCGGGAUGAUGCAUCGCACACACCACAACUUCAGUUUUUGUCGUGGGAGUUGAUUCAGUUUCUUAGAUAUGUUUUGAUACUGUUGUGACACAUUUUUUCUCACAGUAUUUUAUUAUGUGAUACUCAGUUUUAUGAUCUUUGUUAUAAUAUAAAUGAAAUUAUCGGGUCGUAUUUUUGGGAUGUUUCAAGUACCUUGUGCCACCGAUUAAAAAAAUUUUAAAAACCGAUUGAAAUAUAACUGAAAAAGACAUACAGCUUAACGAAAAACUAGUUGAUUAUUAGUCCAUUGAUAAAGCGGCGAACGCAGAGUGAGAGUCUUUGGCAUGUGGGCUUUCAUUUUAUUAGAACAACUUGUUUAUUUAUUAAUAUUUUGAGAGUGCCGAUUAAGAGUAGUUAACUUUUUAUUAUCAAUCUCAUAAUUUAAAAUAACAAAUUGUCCCUAAUAACUUAUAUUUUUCUCUUUUUAAAGUGGUUUUUUUUUUUAAAAAUAAAAAUAAAAAUAAACUCAAUGUAGGUUCUCUAUUUUUUUAAGACUAAAUUACACAGAUGGUCCCUGUGGUUGGCACGAGAGACCAAAGAUAGUCCUUAUGAGGAAUUUUGGACUUGUAUGGUCCCCGUGGUUCCAAAUUGUUGCACGAAGAGUCCUUAUGACAUACUCCGUUUAAUUGUUGUCGUUUAUUUAAAUCACGUAACCCUCACACGAGGGUAUUUUGGUCUUUUGCUUAUCCCUUCUCUCUCUCAUAUCUUUAUAUGAUCUGCAAAAGAUUUCCCUUCCCUAUAAAAAUUAAACCCCCAUCACUUCCUUCAUUAUUUUUCGUCUCCUCUAUUCUCUCUUCUCUCUUCUCUCUGCUGUGUCUUUCUAAGAAACUUUGCUUAAGAAUGGUAAAUUGUUUUUGUGGAACGCAAGCGGUGAUAGUGACAUCAUGGAUGGAUCUCAACCCAGGUUGUAUGUUUUGGAAAUGUCCUAGCAGUUGCGGUUUCAUUGCCUGGUUUGAUGAGCCGAUGUGUCGAAGGGUUGUGGCUGUCAUUCCAGGUUUGCUAAGAUCCAUGAACAAGCUUCAAGAAUCUCUGCUGCAAGCAAGUUUUGAAGCAAAAAAAGUGAAGAUGAUGCUAGUUUUUAGUUGGGUUUUCUUUUUCAUGUAUGUGUAUAAAAGAUGCUAAUAGUAUUAGUCUGGAGAUGAUGGUUCUUUUGCUUGUGGGUAGAUGAUGGUUCUUUUGCUUGUGGUUAGAAUCAGAUAAUAGUAUUAAUUUGAAGAUGAUUUCGUUUUGUUUGUUUGUGAUGCAAGAAAUGUUCGUAUGUAUGAAUGGAAUGCUUUUUAUUUGGGAAACUUUUAGUCUGCUACCAUUGUAAAAUAUUGGUCAGGAACUUAAUGAGUGUAAAAUAUUGGUCUGCAACUUAAUGAACCGUGCAGAUCCAUUAAAGUAUAAAAUAUGAAAGUGAAAGGUUUUUGUAGGCUUUAGACCAUUGUAGAGCCAUAACAACAUUAGAAAUGUUCAAAAAUAAAAUGCAAACUUUUGCAUAGUCAUAAAGUUCAUUACAUAACCUUAAAGUGCAAAGUCAUAAUACCAAAAAAAUAUCAAAAGAGCUUGCAGACUAAUGUAUCAUAACCAAAAGAACCAUCUUAGUCUAGCACCCUGUGUGAACCAUAAUACCAACAAAAGAUAAAGACACACAAUAACCAACUUAGUCUGACCUUUCUAAGGUACCAAAACAAACAACACAAAAGACCUUUCUAAGGUUCCAUAACAAACAACACAAAAGACAACAAAUCAAACUUUUUCCUUCAUUUUGGAUUUAUCCUUAAGUUUGGUUUUCUCCUUCAUUUUGGGUUUCUCCUUUUUUCCAUCUCCCUGCUUCUUUGCCUUGCUAAGCUUCUUGCCCCCUGCCACCACAUUUCUAACUUCAGUUUGUCCCCCUUGUCCCUUGCAACUCCUAGAGUUGUGACCCUUGUUAUUGCAUUUGCUACAAGUAACUGUAAGGAACUUCUUGGUCAAACUUUUACCUUGAUUAUUUGGUUCUUCAGUUUGAGCUCUCUUUCUCUUCUUUUUUGGUCUCCCCACCUGCAUAAUUAAUAAAUUAUAAAACAGUAUAAACGUAUACUAACUUGUAAAUUGAAAAUUAUUUACCUGUUUAGUAUGCUUAGGAGGUGUUAGUGUUAUGGGGAAAUCUGACUUUGGCCACAUACUUCUUCCAUUGAUAGGUUGAACUUUGUACUUGUACAUUUCAUUCCAUGUGCUUAACCUAUAACAUGGAUGUACCCACUCCUCAAGAGGUGGGACAUUUUUUCCCAGUGCCUGCAACUACAAUUCCUGUCCCUCCAAUUAACCACAAAUUGUUCCCCCAUUGUCCCAGUAACUUGAGUCUUAUCAGCACCAUUAAAUAUGCAAGUGUAUUGAGAAGCAUCUUUCUUAACUCCAUCUAAAAGUUUUGUGGCUGGGGGGGGGAGAGGGGCNUUAUCUAUCACAUUUUGCACAAUACAAAUUCGUUUCAUUAAGUAUUCCCUAAUAUAUUCUAAACAUGUAAUUAUAGGUUUGUCUCGAGCAUCUAACAACUUUGAGAUGAAAACUUCACAUAAAUUAUUCAACAAAAUAUCUGUAUGUGCUCUUCCUGUACAAUGCAACAAAAUAUCUUAUAAGAAUCUGUCAAAGUGUAAAUCUUCCUUGAAUCUGUCAAAGUGUCUAACUGUUGUUGCUGUUGCACAUUCCCAUAAAUGAUCUCUGUGCUCCUUCCCCCUCCAUUGUAGCUUCAUGUUUUCGUGAAUAUGUCUUAAACAGAACCUGUGUUCAGCGCUAGGUAAUAGGUUGGCAAUGGCAGAUAAAAUCCCCUAAUUAACAAGUAACAAAAAUGUUAUUUUCUAAAUGUAGUAGACAAAAUUACAAAGAUGUCAUGAACAAGUAUCAUAAGAAGAUUAACCUUUUGCCUGUCAGAAAUAAAUGUGAAGUUUGAAUUUGUAGAGAGCUCCAAAUCUUCACCUAGACACUCUAGAAACCAACUCCAUGAGCUUUUGUUCUCGGCUUCAACUAUGGCAUAUGCUAGUGGGUAGAUCCGAUUAUUGGAAUCAAGACCCACAACAGUGAGAACCUAUCCAGUGUAAGGUCCCUUCAUGAAAGCCCCAUCGAAACCUAAAAAAUCUCUUAAACCUGCCUUAAAACCCAGUUUUAAUGCACCUAAACAGACAUAAAUUCUCUUAAACAUCCUAGUUUCCAAGUCUGCAUUUGGUUCACUGUAUACAUCAAUCUUCACAAUUGUUCCUGGGUUGCACUGUUGUAAUUCUAAUACGUAAUCCCUGAGAAGGCUGUAUUGCUUUUGAUAAUCUCCAUAAACAUGUUUCUGUGCAAGUUGUUUAGCCCUAAAGACCUUCAUUCUUGACAUCCCCACCUCGUAUAUCUUUUGUAACUCUACACACAAAGCUUUGACUGGGAUAGUUGGGUUUCCUUCCACUUCUUGAAGAAUGAUGGUUGUAAGAAACUUAGGCCUCAUUUGAUAGUUGCCGAUUGAGAAAGUGCUGACUGAGAAAGGUCUGUCUGGGUAAGAAAUCCUGAUUGGGUAAGAAAUCCUGUUGUUUGAUUGUACAUCUGACUGAAUGUGCUGAGUGAUGAAAAAUGACCAUUUUACCCUGCUGUUAUAUAUAUAUAUUGAUGGAUUAAAUUGCUGAAUAAUUAUAAAAACAUACAUAUUGUCAUACAAAAUGUAAAUUACACACAAAUAAAAAAUGUCAUACAAAAUGUAAAUUAAACAUAAAUCAUUUAAUAUCCAAAUAAAAACAUAAUGAAAUUUAAAAUAACAUAAUAAUUUAAUGUAAAGUAGGUGAAAGUAGUCGAUUUGCAAUCUGAUCACGCAAAACACGCAUAUAUUCAACGGCUUCUGGACCCCAUUCUAUGCCUUGUAUGUUUUCUCUAUCAAUUCCCCCACCUUGGACGUCAGGAGUAACCAUAGUGUCCUCCUCAAAAUUUCUAAACAAGUCAUCUUCUAUAUUGUAUUUCCUUAUAAAAUUAUGGACCGCGACACAAGCAAUGACUAUGUCUCUUUGCACUGUAAAAGGAUAAGGAGCCAUUUGUUUUAAGAUUGGGAAUCUCGCCUUCAAUACACCAUAAGCACGCUCAAUAACAUUUCUAAGUUGUGCAUGAGCAUGAUUGAACCUUUCUUCUCUAGUUAAAGGUCUGCCUCUUCGAAAAUCGGCUAACCAAUACCUAGUAUUGCGGUAUGGAGCCAUAAACCCACGAGUGUUUGUAUAUGCGGCAUCACAAAGGUAAUAUUUAUCUGCAAACGAAUGUGACAUAUUAUAUAAUGACACAUAUUAUAUAAAGAAGAUAGAUAAUAAAAAUUAUAUAAAGAUUACAAACCUGGUGGAGGAAAUGGAAAUCCAGAAGUCGAAUUGAAUGCAACUUCUUUCAAAACUCUUGAAUCAUGUGCUAUACCCUCCCAUCCAGCCCAAACAAAGGUGAAUAUCAUAUCAAAAUCACAAAUUCCUAUUACAUUUUGAAAACAUUCUCCUUUUCCUCUUCCUCAAUAACGAGUUUGUUGAUCAACAGGUACAACCGCACGUACAAGAGUUCCAUCUAAUGCACCAAUUGCUCCGGAAAAAAUAUUUUUUAACCGUCUAUGUCGUUCUGAGUUAUGUCUUGUUGGGUUAGGAGUUGUUGGUACUAUAAUUUCUUUUGCAAAACACAUCAUUGCUGUUAGGACCUCGUGAAAACAUUGAUGAAUCGUUUGUGUGGAGUGAUGAAAUCUUCCCUUAACCGCGCGAAAACGUUCAUUAUGUCCUAUAACAUGUAAGAAGAUAGCCAUCUUCUCUUCAAUGCUUAUUGUCCUACUAGCUUGCAACCAAUUUUUUUGGGUAAAAUGGUUGCAUAGUAAUGCAAAUGCCUCUUGUGUAAGACGCAUCAUAUCGAAACAUUGUGUAGGGUCUCCGUAUAUCAAAUCUUAUGUAUACGCAUACCCGCUUGAAUCGUUAUCUCUAAUUCUAAGAAUUCUGAUUAGUCUGCGCCGGUUUGACCUCAACCAAUAAAACACAAGUAAAAGAAAAGCUACAACUUCACCAUCAGAAACCAUACUUGAUCUAUUACAAACAAUUAGGUAAUAUGUUAAAGUAAAAAAAAAAUCAUGCACCAAAAAAAUUAGUAAACAUCAUUAAAAGUAACAAAAGUCGUAUAACAAACGUUGUAUAACAAAAUACUAGUAAACAUCAUCCAAAAAAGUCAUCAAACUAUAUAACAGUAAACCAAAAAGUCAUCAAACAUAGGAUCCAAAAAACUAGUAAACAUCAUCCAAAAAAAGUCAUCAAACAUAGGAUCCAAAAAACUAGUAAACAUCAUAAAAAAAACUAGUAUCCAAACUUUUCUACCCGCACCUAUCAAAGGUAACUAUACUUCCUACCCGCACCCAUCACCCACGACUCACAACUACUAUGCGAAAGUCGUAACCAAACUUUUCGAACAUCAGCACUUUCACCAAAUAGCAAAAGAGCGGUCUUGUGUCUUUCAUCUUCUUCUCCCCAUUCCAUUUUGUUCAAUUUCUCCAUACACGCAUCAACAUCCUUAUCCAUUUCACUUUUUUCAAUUCUUUCAUUUUUUUUCCACUAAUAACCUUACAAUCUUGACAAUCUCCUCUUCAACUUCUAAUGCCCUUGCAUCUCUUUUUUUUCCACCAACUCUUUUGUUUCCACCAACUUCCUUAUUUUUGAACGCCCCGAAGAUUCUUCACUUGCACCUACGUGUUGUGUUGAGGUUUCCAUUAGAACAUCAUCAUCAAAAUCAUGGGGACUAAACUCUUCUACAGGACAAGGGAGUGUAGAAGAUGGCCCCCAACUUUGAGAUCCGGUUGAUGUCAACCCUUCAAAUAGUUGGGUGCAAAGAUCAGGGAACAAUAGGGGUUUAGUUUUCAAUGACAACACGAACUUGUUCAACUGUUUACAAUUUUUAUAAAUAUUAGUAUAUGUUAUAAAAAUAAUCAUAAUAGUAUUGAUUAAAAAAAUAAAUUUAAUCAAAUAGUAUAUGUUAUAAAAAUAAUCAUAAUAGUAUUGAUUAAAAAAAUAUUACCUUCCCCUCUUCUUUCCAUUGUUCAUCGGUCAAAUUAAAUUUAUUUUUUAUAGGAUCAUAUAUAUUGCCGGUUUUGUUUUUGAGUUUCACCCAAGCAACAUACUUUGAUUUGUAGUAGUCAAAGUGGUUUCUCAUUUGCUUCUGAUCAACCUCUUUACCGUGUUCGUUUAUCAAUUUUUCGCGUAUUGUCUUCCAUGAACUUGCCUUAAGCCCAGAACCCUCACGACCAUUAGUGGUUAGUUCAUGGAUACAUGCAUCAAGAAAAGUUUUGUCCUCACUCUCGUUCCAAACCAACAUCCUAAAACAUUAAUAUUUAAAGUAAUUUAUCAUAGUUUUUAUCAAGUUAAAGAACAAUUUUAAACAUAAAGCAAUUUUCAACCAAGGAAGUUAACAUCAUCCUAAAUUAUGAUUUGAUAACUUAUACACAAACAAUUUCAGAUGUCACAAAACAUCAAUAUUCAAGCUAACAAUUUCACAAAAGAUAACAAGCUAACAAUUAAGGUCAACAAUAUCAAAGCUAUAAAAUUAGAAAGAAAAAAAAAACAGCCCAAUUUUUGAUUUUAUAGCUUAUACUUUUGAUACUAAUACAAGCUCAAUAAUUGGAAGACAUGUGAUGUUGCAUGCAUUCCCCCUCUCGCCCACUCUUCAAGGAACAAUUGGAUUAUUAAAAAAGUUAGGUUACCAUUAAUCUUAUAAUAAUUAUUUAUUAUUAAUUUUACUUUUGUACUUUACACAUAAAAACACAACNAAAACCAAAAAAAUAAAAAAAAAAAAAAAAAAAAAAAAACAGCCCAAUUUUUGAUUUACAAACCUACUUGUAUUUUCCAAUUCACAUUCAAUUUCAAUUCACAAGCUAUAAAAUCAAAAUUCAAAAAAAAAACCUUCCAAUUCACUUUCAAUUUCAAUUCAUAAGCUAUAAAAUAUGAACCGGAGAAAAAAACUUCCAAUGUGAAUUGGAGAAAAAAACUUCAAAUUCAGAAAAAAAAACAAAAAAACAAAAACAAAAAACAACUACCAAUUCACAUUCUAUUUUAGAAUUCAUAACAUUAGAAAAAAAAACCUUCAAUUUUCAGUUCUUAUACACAAAGAACUACAAAACAAAACAUAAACAAACUUCCAAUUCACAUAUAAUUUCGAAAUUCAUAUAUUAGAACAAACAAUUUCAGAUUUCAGUUCUUGUACACAAAGAACUACAAAAAAGAACAAAAAAAGCUUAUCAUAUGAACAUACAGGUUGAGAAUUCAUAAUAUUCUAACAUAUACUAAUUUGAUUUCAUAAAGAACUACAAAUUUCAUACCAUCAAAGCAUAAAUGGUAUCUGAUUUUGAAAAUUAUUAACAGAAAAAUUAUCUAACCUGUGUGAUGGAUCGAGAAGGCGUCACUGAUGGCGGUGGCGGAGGUCCGACGAGAUGGCACAGGUCCGACUGGUCGGACUGUUUGGCGUUCAAUGUUGUGGAGUUCUUCCUAGCGGCUGCUGUGCUUUUAGGUCACUAGAAGGGAAGCGAAUGGGGAAAGAAAUAAUAACGACGCAGGGGCAAGAUAAGGGCAAGAUUGUCUAAUUUCCAGUCAGCAACUGUUUAAAAACUGAUCCAGAAAGCGAUUUGGGUCAGCAGAUCUUACCGAGAAAGCUCAAAUCAAACACCAAAGGUCUGACCGAGUCAGCCCAAUUUGCUGACUCGACCCAGUCAGACAUUUAUCAAACACUCCCUUAGAAGUGCACUCUUUAAUAGACCUUGACUGCACACAUCUAUGCUCAUGAACCAAAGUUUUCACCAUCCAAUCGCUUUCUUCAUCAGAUCUAGAAAUUAAUACCACCCAAGGGCAUGUUGCUUUUUGUGAGCUGACUGUUUUAUCCUUGCAUUUGAUUCUACUUUUUGUCCAUGGCCCACCUGUCAUUUUCGGGACCACACCCCUGCAUUUUGCCCUAAUUCUUUUUUUUUUAUCAUUUUUUGAAAAGUAAAUGUUUCUCCUAGUUCGAAUUGAAUGCAUUUUAAUGUAGUCCUUCACUUCUGAUGAGGACUUAAAUAUUUGACCCAGAUGGAAUGCAGUUUCAUGUACUACUCCUGAUGAACAUGUGGUUGGUUUGUUUAACCUUCUCAUUAAUUUCUUCCUCUCAUCUUCUUCUACACCAGUUGAUUCAAAUAAUUGUGUAUCUAUCACCUCCAAAUCCUCAUCAACUGUGACAUCAGGUGCAUUGAAUGAUUGGUGGUUAUCUAGAUUUGGAAAAGAAUAAACACCACUGUGGAAGUCUUUCAUAUUCACUUCGACAUCCUCCACCAUAUUAAGUUCAUCCACUAAAAAGUCACUAUCGUCGCUUAUACUUCCAUCGGUACUAGUCUCAUCACUAAUAACAUCUCCAAUUUCUUCAUUUUCCCCCAUCUGUUGGUAAUCAUUAUGAUCCAUAUAAAAGAAAGGAUCAAAGUCUUCUGAAGGGACAACAUCUUGGGCUUUGUUAAGCUCCUCACUUGCAGGAUGAACUCGAACAUCUUUCACUACAUCUCUAUCAAAAUGUCCAAAAGGUACAACAGACCUAGAAAAGUCAUAGUUCUCAUUCAAGUCCAUUUUUCUACUACAUGAUCCUACCUUUGUACUUGUAAACUUUUUUCGAUUGAGUUCCGGAGAAAUAGGCUCAUUGAUUUCUUCCGAUACGACCUUAUUUGGAGAUAUAAAGUAUGCAUGGAGUCUAGUAGUUCCAUGUUCAGUAUACACCAUAAUCUCUUUAUGAUUAGCAACAUGCUUACUUAACAAAAGUACGUCUGAGUUGUUACCUAAAGGAAGUAACCCAUAAUCGAUUUCAAUCUCAGGAAUCAAGAAGUGGUAGUAGAUAGGCUCACCGUUGAUAUAACCUAUCUCCUUCAUCAUAUCGUCUAACUCAUGUACGGAAAACACGUCCAUGUCUACGUAGUCAACAUAGUCAAUACUCCCACCAACGUAACGUCUUCCUGGGUAUUUUGUGAACAUACCCCCAUGGUGAAUCUUGAAUGUGCAAAAACUACUUAACUCAACUGAAAAACAAAUAAAUAAUGAUAUGAGGAAAGAAUGAAGUCUCAAAAUUGAAUGUGCAUAAAUUACUUAACAAAAUUGAAAGUUGUUAACUGAUCACUCACCAUAAGCUUUGAUCAGGUCAGGAUUUUCUGAGAAUUUUGAACGGACAUUCCACAAAGUUAGAACGAUCGCAAAAGAUGAAAAUGAAAACCCUAGUUUCCGUUUGAUGUUUUGAAGUGAUGAAGAUGAAAAACCAGAGGAGAAAAGAAAGGGAUGAUUUCUUGGGGUAAUGUAAAUGGCAGCUAGAUGUAAGGAUCAUUUAUGAAUAUGAUCAUUUCGUGUAACAAAGCAAAAGACCAAAAUACCCUCGUGUGAGGGUCACGUGAUUUAGAUAAACGGAAACAAUUAAACGGAGUAUGUCAUAAGGACUAUUCGUGCAACAAUUUGGAACCAUAGGGACCAUACUCGUCCAAAAUUCCUCAUAAGGACUAUCUUUGGUCUCUUGUGCCAACCACAGGGACCAUCUGUGUAAUUUUGUCUUUUUUUAAAGAUAGUUCAUAAUUUUUCUAUUAUAUACAUUGUAAAUGAAAUUGAGAACUUAAGUAGGUCCUAGGACCUACCUAAGCACAUGGUGGAUACGCCCCUGUUACCCACACUAACCUCAUACACUUACAACACAAAUGAACUUGAACGGUCUAAGACCAAACCAAGAUAUAAUAUGAAAUGUGUAAGUAUAGUUUAAUAGAUGAAAGUGAGGUGUUGUUUGGGCUUGAAAAGUAGGGGUGAGCAUGGUGCGAUUUUUUGAGAAAACCGAACCGCAAACCGCAAGAUGCGGUUUCUAUAGGGUAAAACCGAUAGGUGUGGUUUUUGUUUCGGCGUGGUUUUACAUGCAUUUUCGGUGUCAUUCGAUGCGGUUUCGGUUUUUAACUGAAAAUAUGUGUUGGUGUGAUUUUUCAUACAUGUGUUGAUCUACCAAAGAAGUAAUAACCCCUAAAGAAGCUAGAGCAAGGCCUAAUUGAAAAUGAAGCCAAUUAUUAAUUGUGUCAUAAAGACCCUCAUGCCCACGUCUCAAUCGCCCUCUUGGAGGGAUAUGUGCAUCUAAAAGAUCUUUCAUACUGUGCCCAAUCCCAAAAUUAGUUCUAUACAUAUGCCCAACAAUAAGAAAAAGAAAUGCAAUAGCUAAAUAAUGAUGAGUCAUAUCAGCAUGUCCAAACCCGACUUUUCAGUUAACUUUCCUUUAUUUCCGGUACAGAUUCUCAUUUAAAUGUAUUUAACAUGCUUGUGAAAUAGUUAUAUGUUAUUCUUAUCAAAAUAUAGACUUCUUUAUGAUAUUACGAUUUUGAGAUUUGAAUUAUAUGUUUGAUGCAACAAGGGAUUUGGUUUUAUAAUCUCAAAUUCCAUUACUUAAUCAUUAUUGUUUAUACAGAUAGAGGCGGCUUUUGAUUCGAAUUGCAUUUUGCUUGUGAUAAGCAAAAGGAAAAUUGUUAAUGGUACGCACUUUGAUACAAAUGUCAAAUUUUAUAAAAAUAUAGCAAAACAUAAGGCAUGCACAGUGGCAAAAAGAACUGAAGAGGUCGAAGUUGAACAAAAUAUACUUUUAUUAAUAAGUAUUAUAAUAUAUUAAAUAUUGUCAGGUUUUUAUGGUGCUGUUUGGCAUUGUCCAAACCGCACCACACCGAAAAAUUACCAAUUAAGGUUGGAUUGGAAUGCAUAAUUAUCAAUUUAUCCUUAAUAAGUCAUAAAUCAACAAAAAUGGCCCAACAAUUUUCUUAAUCUUAAUUGUUGCCUUUGGAUUAGAAAUCAUCAACGAUCAAGAUUGGUUCUCACAAUUCUCUAAUCUCUACUUUUAUGUUGUUUUCAUUUGAACUCAACCCAAAAAUCUCACCAGUAAUCACCACACGAACAAAUCCCGUUCUUGAAAUGAUGAAACCUAUUUGUAUCCCGAAGAAUAAUUUCCCGCUCAACAAUCUUGGAAAUAAGCUUAGCAGCAAUAUGACAAUCCUCACAAACACGUAGAUUUUUAGUAAUCCGUAUAGGCGUAAAAGCUUUAGUAUUUAUAAUCACAAACACAAUAGCAAGCUUCUCACUAUGAACAGCAAGAUGAUUUCCUUUAUCUUCAUCUUCUAUAUCAUGAAGUGCAGAAUCCACUUCAGGAACAUACCCAAAAUCCCUCAUCUUCCCCACAAGUACUUCCAACUCUUGAUAAAUCUGUUUAGAUUGUGGAUGGGAUUGAUCUCCAGCAAGAAACGAAUGAACUUGAUUAUUAAGCUCAACAUUACUAACACCGGGCUCUUUUUUCACUCCUUUUGAUUUCAUUAUUGAACGAAUAUUUGUCACAUCUUUAAAUCUACCUGCUUUUGCGUAUAUAUUUGAUAAUAAAACAUAAUACCCUGCUUGUUCAGGGACCAAUUCAAAGAGAUGAUCUGCUGCUACAAGACCAAUUUCCAUGUUGGAAUGAACUUUACAAGCACUUAACAAAGCACCCCAGAUUCUAUCGUUUGGUUUUGUUUUCAUUUUCUUUAUAAAAUCAUAAGCUUCAUUGAUUCUUCCUGAUCUUCCUAGCAAAUCAACCAUGCACGCCAAGUGUUCGAGUCUUGGAAUGAUGUUAUACUCUUCGGUCAUCAAUUUGAAGAAAUGUUUUCCUUGGUUUAGUAAUCCGGCAUGGCUGCAGGCUGAUAGAACUGGAACGAAGGAAAUGGAAUCAGGGGCGAUUCCGGAAUUUUGCAUAUUUGAAAAGACUGUGAUAGCAGUUUCACCAUCUCCAGUCAUGCCAUAAGCAGAGACCAUGGAAGUCCAGGAGACGACAUCUCUUGUUGGCAUUUCAUCGAACACCUUGCGUGCUUCGUUUAAAGACCCACAUUUAGCAUACAUGUCAAUCAAGGCGUUCUCUACUGUUAGAUUAGGAAGAAGCCUUUUUGUUUUUACAUAUGAAUGAAUCUUUCUUCCUAGUAAUAAAGCUGAAAGAUCUCCACAAGCGGGUAGGAUGCUAGCAACUGUGAUUGAAUCCGGGUCGAUUCCGUAAUUCUCCAUUUGUUGAUAAAGAUUAACUGCAUCUUUAGGCAUCGAGUUGUUGACGUACACAGCUAUCAUGACAUUCCAAGAAAUUAAACUCUCUCGAGCGUGAUUCAUGAACAUUUCUUUCAUAAACAUCACGUUGGUAGAUGAAGUAGAAGUUGUUAAAGCAGGGGAAAGGCUGGCCAUGGUGCCUGCGUUGGGUUUUGAGGUAGAACAUUGCAUCAUUGUCUUACAAAUCUCCAAUGCAUCUUCAAACAUCCGGUUUUGGGCGUAGGCAGCAACCAUAGCAUUCCAGGAGACGAUAUCUCUACUAGGCAUUUCAUCAAACACCUGGCGUCCUUCCAGUAACCGGUUACAUUUUCCAUACAUUGUAAUCAAUCCAUUCCCUACAUAAAGAUUUGAAUGCAGACCCUUCUUGAGAACAGCAACAUGGGUUUGUAAUCCGACCCACAAAUUCUCAGACACGGAACAUGCUUUUAGAACUUGAGGAACUGUAAAAUGAUCAGGGUUAAUGUUGAACUUGAACAUGUUUCUGUACAUACGAAGUGCUUUUUCGUAGAAUUCAUUGUUUACGUAGCUUCUAAUCAUCACAUUGAAGAAGACUACAUCUUUUUGAGGAAAUUCAUCAAACAGUUGGCGGGUAACUGCGAUUUGGCGACAUUCAGAAUAAGCUUUCAUUAAUUUCAGAGCAAUAUGCGAUGCUGAGACGAGGUUUCCAUCAAUAAUUAACCUACAAUGUAUCUUUUUCAAUUGUUUGAUAUCUGGGCACUUGUCCAAGAUUUUGAUACACAAGUCUUCUGUGAUUAACAUGAUUGUUAAGGCGAGAUUUGAAUGAAUUUGAACUUAUAUUCCUUUCGCCAUGUUGUACCUGAGGGGCAAUCAAAUAGAAUGGACGAAGAUAACGAAGGUUUACUUGGUGGUGUUCACUUAAAAACAAGAAAUAUGAAGUUCUAAACGCUAUUUCUUGUUAAACAGAAAAUAUUUUGUCCAAUCUAAAAAUCCAAUUUUUGAGUAAGUUCAAGCUUAAGCUCAAAAAUAGUAAGCAAAACAUGUUUAAAAAAUAAAAGUUCGUUUGAAACUCUUUGGAUAGCUCGAGUAUAACAAUCAUCAUAAUUAUAGUCAAUAAAUCAGGCUCAAACAACCAAACUUGAUGUCCAGCCCUUGAUCAUCCAAUUGCCAACUGAAAUCAACUUAGUUUCCGGUUUUAGAAUCGCCCUAACAUUACAUAAGCACCAACUAGUUCCAAAAGUAGUUUUUAAUUCAAUGUCUCCCAUACCCGUGACUUCAAGGGUUUCCAUGUUACCCAACCUUACCAACUUAAGAUAAGUUCUUUACUUCAAUUACUAUAACAGAUCGAUGAGUCAUGUUCUAAUGACCUCUCGUCAUAUGAUGCAAUGCUUAGACUCGAGUCUUUUAAAGUCAAAUUCUAUAAUGAAAUAUACAUUCCUUCAAGUUUCUAAUGUGAUAUAAUCACAUUCUAGCAUGUAUCACUUCUAGCUACAAGCUUCUUACUUUAACAACAAUCACAAUACUUCUAUUGAUCGCUUUGAUUAUCUUUCAGUUCAAUCUUCUGGCUUAAGUCAGAUGCUACAUCGAUCUUGGUUCUCUGAACCACGUACAAUACUUAUCCUAGCUGUAAUCGAUUUGAUAUGACCACUAGGGUCGGAAUAACAAUCAUCUUCUUAGUCAUUACCGAAAUUAUGGUAAUGACACAUGAACAAAACAGAAUCAAUUACUAGCGUCUUGGUAACUCGUGACUUUCCCUGAUCCAAGUGCGAGUCGUGUGCUUCCAGUAGUAUAUGCCUCUACUACCUUUCACACCUACUCAUACUUGUCCCAAGUAUUGUCUUUCAGUUCUCCAAGUCACCAUAAAAGAAUUUCACAUAGUCAUUUAACACAUCGAAUAACAAAACUAAGGUUUAUAUUAUUUCUUGAAACGAUUACAUAGAUAUUCAAGUUCACCUUAUACCAUGCCUUUUAUAUUAGGCUACACCACAUGAUACUAUCUAUAUGGCUACUUUAUAUCUCGAUCUUCAGAUAUAUAUAGAUCCCUACUCCUAAUCCCUUGUAUCGUCACCUGCUUCAUCCAGGUUAGACUUCGAGAAUCUUCCUUUCUUAUCGAAUCUUGAGGAUCCCUCAAGCUUCUUCUUUUCUCAUGCCUUGUCUUAUUCCAGACCCUUUUUCCUAAAUUAGGUUUCCAUAUUCUUGGUUGCUCUAACGGUUGUCUUCAAAGUAGUUGCCAUUUUUACCAUUGCGCCAAAUUAUGCUGGCAAUCCGUUAGCAAAACUAUCUAUCUUGGAGAGUUCAGUAGCACCAAGUAGGGGAAUAACUUCAUCUGCUCGGUGAAUACGGUGACAUACUCAUCAACACUCAUCUUCCUUUUCUUCAAGUUCGAAACUCGUUGUUUAGGUCUAUCAGAUCUAUCUCUGAGCAGUAUUGCAUUUUCAACUGCUCCAUGAAUGCUUCCCACCUCAGGGCUUCUCCCCCAUGGCUUUGUAUCUGCCAAUAACUUCCACCAACUUAAAACUCUGGUCUUUAGUUGUCUGACUGUAAAGACGGUUUUCUGCUUGUUGCUGCAAUUGCAACUUUCAAAUGUCAUCUCUAUCUCGGAGAUCCAAUCCAUGAUCUCUACUGGCUUCGGGCUUCCAGAAAGACUUGGUGGUUUGGCACCUAAGAAGUUCUUAUACAUACGUUCAUCCUUAUCAAUCGCUUUUUUCGGGUCGUUCCUCCUUGCCACUCGGGGUUCAGCUUGACUCACUGUACGACUGUAAUUUCCCUCCUCCGACAAUUCUUCAUUCAGUUCGGGUUGCACGAUAGGCACAAUAGGUUCAUCCCUAUUAUCAAGAAACAUUUUUCUCAUCUCCUCCCUUUGUUCGGCCAUCAUAGCCCAAAUCAUUGCUUAGACUCUUGCCAUCGUGAUUGGCUCGGGUGCAGCUACUACCUCUGGUGCACAUUUAAUCACUCGUGGUUCAGGCUGUUAGUUUUCAUUAGCAUUUUCUAAUAUGUUGCGAGUUCUCACCAUUUCGAUCUAUACACUCUAGAGAUGUUCAGUGUACAGUGACGAGAAUUAAGAUAUGGAAAGCUUUAUUUACGACAGCCAUAUAAAUCUUCUUAUCACUCGUAAAAGUUAUAUACUAGUUCUAAUACCGUAAUUAAAUGUUUGGAAAUUUUGAGCAAAUGACGGUUCAUCAACAAUAGAGCGAAUCUCAUUUAGGAAUUCGUUGAUAGGUCGAUUUCCUUUAGGAUUUUUAGCAAGUUUGGAUUUUAAAGAGAUGAUUCUUGAGCAGGAGGUGCUGGCAUAGCUUGUGUUGAGAUGCUUUCAUGCUUCUUUUGUGGUAAAUACAGAGGUAAUGAUAGGUUGAAUGAAUUGCAUCUGAGCAUGAACCAAGAAUUGCAUCGAAUACUACAUGAUCUUGGCGAUAGCAAGUCGUGUAUUCAUGAUUAGGUUUGGAUUUGUCUUUGUCGAUAAUGAAUUUUGUGGUAGGAUCAGUCACCCAUGUGAUGUAAUCUUCCAGACCUAGUCCAAUAAAUGUGGACUGCACUUGUCGCCUCCAUACAUGGAAGUUGUUGGUGAGUAAUUUGGUAGGAAAGUGACUUGAGGCGGUGAUUUGUAUUUGGGAUGAUUGUGUCAUGGUGAUGUUGAUGAAAAGGAUUAGAGGAGAAAGGCAAGAUGAUCGAUUGACUCUUUAGAGUGUGUGUGCUCUGAUACGAUAUGAGAUUUGAGAAUCAAUGGGCUCGAAUGAAUAAUUUCAUUUACAAAGAUCGAUACAUAUAUAGAUGGUAACGAGAGUUAAAGAGCUAUACAUGGAAUUUACUAAGAAUAGAUUGCAAUUACAUACAAAUAGAAGAGAUUAUUGUAGAUUAGUCAUGAAGAUGUGUACGAUGUUAUAGUUAGAUUGCUUAUUUGCAAUCCAUGUUAGCUAAGUAUGUCAUGUUGAAUACAAAUUGUAUUAAAACAUUAAAGUUCCAACCAUUAUAUGUUGAAGAAGAAGCAAAUACGCCUUAGUCACACCCAUUCUAAAUGAUAUGGAUGUUAUGGUUGUCGUUUCUAUGCAACCAAAUCGUGAUUCCAAGUUGCAGUUGUCUUACCAAUAUAUCAUGUUAGGAAAAGAUGACAUAGCAUGAAAUAUUGUAUGUUACAACAAAAAGAUAUAUCUUAUAGAUGUCUUGCACAUGGGUUAUUCCUUUUUAAGCACUUAUAUAAAAAUAAUAUCACGUAUGUAUGAUAUCUAUUUUGAGAGAUUUUUAGCAAGCAACUCUUUGUCUAUUAUUGUUAUUGGAUAGAAAAAGUAUCAUCUUCGUUGGGAAGAUUUUACUAGGAUUAGAUUCAUAAUAGUUUGUCAAAGAUUUUACUAUUAUGUAUUUAUAAACCCAUGAAGUUUUCUAUUAAAUAAAUAAAUAAAUAACCAUUCACCAUUUAUAUCUUUUUGGAAUAGAGUUUGUUAAAUUCUAAUAUAAAUAAAAAGAGUAUUUAUUUAGAUUCACACAUUACAAAAUUACAAACUCCAAGCAUAAAUCCGAAACUUAUUUUUAAACUUCUUCAUUUAUAUUACAAGUUUUAUUCUUUUUUCCCAACCCACUUGGGGUUUCGAAACCCUAAAAAAGUUCUAUCCAUGGAAGUUCAUAUUUAUUUCUUAUCUUAAUGAAUUUAAGGUCUAAAUCAAUAAAUGGCAAUGUAGAAUUAACCGCAUAUAUUAAGUUAUUUUUGGAAGCUUUCCAACACAACACAGAAAGGAAAUGAUGAGAAUUUAUGGUACCAAAUAACAAAAUAAUCCCGGUUCCUAUAAAAAUUUAUUAAAGCUCUACUCAUGAUUUCAUAAUCUCCUCUAAUAUGAGGGUUACGUUAUUGUAAUAAUAACUAUGAUAAUGUAAAAGCCAUAACAUAAAUCGUCUUAAUUUAAGAAAUAAUAUAAAUCCCAAGAUAUUGUUUUUAAAAUAAAAAGGAAAAAAGUGGGAGUCCAUUAGAAGGAGCCAAGCUGAUUAUUUGAGCCAAGAGAGCACCGAUUUGUUAUCCUUCCACUGUUCGAAGCGAGAGGUUAUCGCAGCUCUGUGAAGCCAGCCUAACGCAUUGCCCUCUGCUCUAGGAACCAAGAAGCCCAAGCCUUCGCUCAAGCCACUUGAUCCAACUCCGAACUUGGAACGGGCAAACCAGAUUUUGCAACAGCUUUGACCCAACCAAACAAGGCUCGAUCUCAGUCCAUCCCACUUUAGAGCCCUCACUUGAGUCACAAGCUCGCGUUACCAAGCUCGGCGAUAAACGAAGUCCAUUUGAUGUAUAAAUAAUCGGAAAAACUUUCUCCUCCAAGCGAUGUGGGAUGCGAAACGAAAUAUUUUCAUCUUCAUUCUCUCUUUAUCUCUGUCAAAUACUGUGAUUACUGAUUACUGACUACUUAAACACCCAUGCAACGGAUUUCAAGUAUUUUUUUCAAUCCAUGGAUUUAGAACUGUAAACU